rnacentral:lncRNA from 1 species
UUUUUUUUUUUUUUUUUUUUUGGGUUUGGAUGUCUCGUAAACAUGUUUAAACCUCCAUACUUUAUUACUUCAUCUUAUUUCAAUAAACAAAAGACACUCAAAACUUUUUCUUUAGAAAAAAACUAAAAAUUAGAGAACAUCUAUGAUAUAAAGGAAUUAUUAACUUUAAAAACUACUUUUACAAGUUGUCAUAAAUUCUUUCAUUGAAUCAAUUAACAAAUUUUUUCAUGAUAUUAAAGGUGAGCUUUUUGUUUGUUGUAUUAGAAACUUAAUAAAUAAAGCCAUACCAAAAUUCAUUUAUUAAUGACCCAAAAUCGACUUCUAUGCAAGAAAUCCAACAUGGGAUAUGCGUUCGAAGAUCAGCUCUUCAUGACUUGUAAGUAACAUGAUAUGAAUCCCGUUGCUCAAACGAAACUCACAAAUAGGGCUGCAAACGAGCCGAGUCGAGUCGAUCUUUGGCCUUAUCGAGUCGAGCCUUGAUUUAAUUUCAUCGAACUCGAACUCGAGCUCUACGAGCUGGUAAUUUUCAAUCGAGUCAAGUUCGAGCUCGAAAAAAAUAAAAAAUAAUUAUUUUUAUUUUUAAAAAAAUAAAUAAAAUAAUAUUUUUUCUUAAUAAAUAAUAAAAUAUUAAGGAUAUUUAUGUAAUUUUACUAUUAAAAAUAAUAUAUAUAUAUAUAUAUACACAUUCGAGCUCGCGAGUCUAACGAGUUUAAUGUUUUGAGCUCGAGAUCGAGCUCGACUUUGGCUCGACCAGCUCGAGUUCGACCCGAGCUCGAUAUUGAUCGAACUCGACUCGAGCUUGAAUCGAAUCACUCGCGAGCGGCUCGAUUCAUUUGCACCCCUACUCACGAAUAACAAAUCCGAAUCUUUAGUGAUUGACACAAGUUUAAUAGUGGAAUUUCUACACGGAUCCUUCUAAUUCCCGUAAGUGCAAACUUUAAGAAGGUAGCUGGAGCCACAAUCAAAGAUGAUUAUUUGAUUGAUAAGUCGGAAUGAACGCUCAAGAGAAUUCCGAAGCAUUGAAGGAUGCUCGCAAGAGCUUUUUAGGGAGCUUCACGCCCAUGCAUAAUAAUUUGUUUUACACGCUCAUUAAUCUCUAUGAUCAUGCUCGGCAUUCUAAUCGAAUCUUGAACAGCUUGAACUAUCGGUUGGACGACUCUUGAAGUUUCUUGGCACCAGCGCACGUCAUUGGAUUUGGAUCCACUGGGGAUGUUCAUGGAAUCGACUUGAGCAUGUCAAGCAUCUUGGACAGCUUGCACGACUUCAUCAUAACAUCACUUUGCUUUGCAUAAAUUUUGCAUGAAGCAAUAAACAAAAUGAGAUGCAAUUAACGAAAAAUGGUGCCAAGCUCAAUACACUUUAUUGUUGUUAUUAUUAUUAUUUUCUUUUUGUAUUAGUUUUUUGGACUAACAUUCAUGUAAACAUACCUACUACCUAGCAGAUUGCCAUAUUGACACGAAACAAAGGAUUCCUUUCUAGAAAAGAAGAAGAAAAGCAUUGGCAUAAGAAACAAAAUCCUGUGGUUUGGUAUAGUUGCAGACUUUAAAACGGUUUUAGCCUGUGGUUUUGAUCACGGAUAUAGUUGCAGACCGUAAAAUGAAUUAGUUGCGUACCAUAAAACGAUUUUAUACCUGAAAGGGUUCGGCUCGACUCGAACACGAUUAGUAAAAGAAUGUGGAAUCCCGUUGUUUAGAAGAAAAGGCCAUAAAAUCUAUCGAAUCUAUGAUUGUCACAAGUGUCAUCAUUUUACUGGACUUUUAGAUUGUAUCGGCAAUCCUGGUUUUAGGCAUUAUUUGAUAACCCAUUUAGCACCUAAAUUUAAAGGAUUUAGCAAAAUAUUGAAUAUCUGAAUUAAUUAAGUGGUAAUGAAUUUCCAAACAAAACUUGCUCCUAAAAAUAAUUGAUAAGUUAUUCACUUAUCACUUAUUGUGAUAUACACUCAAAUGUAUUAGAUUUAGUACUUGGCAAUUCAAUCACUUAAUGGAUUCAAAUUUCAGAUUUCAGAUUCAUGGCUUGUUUGAUAACCCAAAUCAAUAUUUAAACUUAAUGGACUUUGAUUUUAACAUGUGUUAGGCGCAUUUGAUAAUCAAAAAUUGAACAUCUGAAUUAAUUAAGUGGCACUGAAAUUUUUAGACAAAACUUGCUCCUAAAAAUAAGUGAUAAACUAUCUACUUAUUAGUUAAUGUGAUAUACACUAAAAUAUAUCAGAUUUAGUAUUUAACAAUUCAAUAAAUUAAUGAAUUCAUAUUUUAGUGACACUGAACUUUUUAUAUAAAAUUUGCUGCUAAAAAUAAGUAAUAAAGUAUUUACUUAUUAUUUAAUGUGAUAUACACUCAAAAUGUAUGAUAUUUAAUAUUUAAUAACUCAAUAAUUUAAUGAAUUCGUAUUUCAAAUUUUAAAUUAUAAUUUUCAGAUUUCAAUAUUAAUAAACACACCGUCAUACUUCAAUUUUUAAAUUUCAAUUUUAUCGAACGCAUCUUUACUUUAGCUUCAUAUUCACCUGCCAUGUUGUAUUUAUCGUGUUUUAUGCUUAGAAACACUGCACCAAGAAAUAGAACAAGAAGAAAUAAAGAAAAAUUAUGCUAGUACUCACAAAAAAUGUACAUGCCAUUCCGCUCUUGACUCAACCCUCGUGCUAUUUUGUAUUUGUCUUGGUUUAGGCCUAGAAAAACUGCACCGAGGAAUAGAACAACAAGAAAUAAGGAAAAAUUAUGCUAGUACUCACAAAAAAAAUGUACGUACCAUUCCGUUCUUGACUCAACCCUCGUGCUAAUUUGUAUUUGUCUUGGUUUAGGCUUAGGAAAACUGCACCGAGAAAUAGAACAAGAAGAAAUAAAGAAUAAUUAUGCUAGUACUCACAAAAGAUGUACGUACCAUUCUGUUCUUGACUCAACCCUCAACCCCAAUUCCCAAAUCCUCAAAAUCCCACCUCAGAAAUCCCAAUAAUUUGCAUCACUCUUGCAAAGUUUGUCUUUUUUGACGUGGGUUUGUCUUUUUUGACGUGGGUUUGUCUUAUUUAUUUUUCUUGGCAGCAAUUUUUUUUUUUCGUUUGAAUAAUUGAUGAGACAUGGAAAAUCCAAAAGAAUUGAGGUCUGAUGCUGAUUUCAGCUUCGAGUUUUUCCCAUUUGAAAUCAUAAUUGAGAUUCUCUCAAGAUUGCCAGUCAAAGUACUUGGCAGAUUCACCACAGUCUCCAAAUUAUGGUACUCUCUCAUCACAAGUUAUAUGUUCAUUAAUAAGCAUCUCAAGGAUUACUCCAUCUCGCUGUCUAAUAAGUCUUACAGCAGCGGCGACAGCAGCAGCAGCUUGGCUACCCCUUUUAGCUCUGUCUUGCUAAUUCCUAUUGUACUAAAGGAAUUAGUGAGACAUUCUUAUUCUAUGUUUUUUGAUAGCACUUUUGAUGGUAAUGGAAGUUUUGAAAUUCCGAUGUUGUAUCAUUGGCUUGAGAUUUUGUUCGUUGGGAAUUCUUGCAAUGGAAUAAUCUGUUUCACUGAUCAGAAGGCAUUUUUCGGUAGGAAAGUGUAUUUGUACAAUCCUGUAAUUAGGAGAAUGAAGCUUAUAUCCCAUAAUUGCUUUGCUGAUAUGAUGUUUGAUCGUAACAAAGUGUUUUGCAAACUGGGAUUUGGGUUUUGUGAGUGUACUAAUGACUAUAAGGUUGUGCGGAUCCAUUAUGUUAAGGACGAGGAGUCAAAACUGUUGGGGAAUGUAGCACCUGAGGUGGAGGUUUAUCGUUUGAAUGCUGAUAAUUGGAGAAGGAUUAAGGCAAAUGUCGAGUGUAUUGUCAAUUAUAGGUCGGUUUCUUGCAAUGGAUCUAUUCAUUGGUUGGCUCGAAAGAAGAAUGGACGGAUUUUUGAUGCUAUCAUGUCCUUUGAUAUUGCUCAUGAGUUGUUUUGUGAGACCGAUUUGCCUGUUCAGUGCCACUCAUUGAAGGAUGGGACUUUAUUGGUCUUCAAGGGGUUGCUUGCUAUUUUCAAGGAUGGCAUUAGCAUUAGAGAGUACGAAGGAUAUAAAUGCUACGAGUUAUGGGUGAUGAGGGAGUAUAAGGUUGCCAAAUCCUGGACUAAACUAUUUGUUUUGGAGACAAAACGAUCUGUUGUGAAGGCAUUUGGAUUUACAAAGAGUGGACAACUUGUGAUGCAGAUGCACGGUGAUAGGUUAGCAUCUUGGGAGCCUGAAGGAAACUGUCUGAAACAUCUAGAUAUUGAUGGAUUUCUACAUCAUGUGGAUGCUUCUUUUGUGGAGAGUCUUGUUUUAUAUGAAGGUGGAUGUGUUGCUUCAGCAGAAACAAAGUAAGAUCUUAAGAACUUUUAGCUCAUUUAUCAUUUGCUAUCUCAGUUAAAGAUCUGUAGCUUGUUGCUAGAGUGCUGGAUGUUUUUACUGUUUUCAGGAUAAAGUGUUUUAGCAUGCGUUGAUCAAUUAUCUCUGUGCUAGGAUGCAUUAAUGGUGCUAGAAUGCGUUGCAGCUAUAGAUGCAUCAGUCAUAUAAUAAAUAAAGCUUCUGCAACGCAGCAUAAUCUCUUUCUGAGUUCUAUACAUCACUACCAUGUUGGAAUUAUUUAUGGAGUAUCAUUGCCUACACAAUACGUUCCCCUAAACCAUUAGACUAAUUUGGUGUUCACCAAUGUUAUUUGUUCUGUUAUCAAUGCCAUUAAAGGGGAAGAAGUGUUCAAAUGCUGUCAGAGAUAGGCUGCUGGUUAGUAGUAUUUAUCGUUAUCCGGUCAUGAAAUACAUGAGUAGUCUAGAAAAACAUGGACCAAUUGUAUGACAUAUGCUGGAAUUUAUGGAUUUCAGUAUCUGAGCGAAAAACUACCUUGCAGUUCAUGCAAUCGCAUGGAUGUUAUUCUUUACAUAGCCUUCUUGCCUUUCCAGCAACUAGCCAUAUGCAGUUUGUAGGGUACUUUCUCAUCUUGAUAGCUGAUUGAGGAUCUCUUGGCAGUCACAGGUGAACAAGAUUACUUUGUUAAGACCAGGAUUUGGGUUUACUAACUGAAGAGAUUGAAACUGGUAGAUGAAUGCAUUGGAUAGUGUCCUUCUAUAGGAUAUUAAAGGAGAAGUAGGAAUAAGAAAAUUGAGAAGAGAGUACCUUACCCUUGCAAGAGAUGAGAAAAAUACGCACAAUAGCAAAUCGUACAGUUUGGCUCUGAUAACAGAAUUUAAUUAUGUAUAUUUUGGAUUCAAGUGCCUAAGAAACUAGUCCCUAUUAUAUCAAUUGUUUCUGGGAUUAAUCUAGAAUUUCCGUGCCUUCAACAAAGUUUUACUUCAAAUACUGUUUGACUCAUCAGUGUCAUCUAUUUCUUCCUCAAACUGGAAAUAGGUUUUAAGUGAGUAAGUAUCCUAACCGUCUCCCAUUCUUCCUGGAAAUUGGUUUCUAUCUCCCAAGAACAUUAAGAACCUGUUCAAUUGCAUUUGUUCUGUCUUUGAUAGAUAGGGUAAACUUGCAAUCCAGAAGACAAAUGCAGAAAUUUAACUGGUAUGCAGUUGAAAAGCUUCUAGGGAAGGAGCAGAAACAAAAUUAAUGGUAUAGUCAACAUUAAUGGCAUUGUUUAUUGCUUAUUGCUUAUUUCAAGCAUGAUUAAUAUAAUAGGUUGACUUACUAAGGAAUUGGCUCUCAGUUAAUGCUAAUUUUGAAUUGGUAUUAGGCUUCAUAUGUACGAAGUUGAAUUUAGGUGAAAUAAUGUUUAUACAUUAAAAGUAGGAGAUUUGGUUUUAUGGAAAAGUUUCUUUUGAGAAUUUAUCAAAGAGGAGAUUAAUGUAGCACAAAAAACCUAUAGAUAACUAUGAGGAGAAACAAUAGAUAUUUUGCAGAUGAGGAGAAUCAAUAGAUAUAUUGCAGCACCUGUAGAAUAGUCUUGCUUAGUAUCUAAGUCAAGAACAUACUUGGUACUCAUCAACCUUCUUGCUUUGCCAUCUGAAUAUCAAAUACUCUUAUUUGGUCCUGCUUUGAUGUUUCUGCCUCUGAAUAAGAUGUCUAGAAUCAGUUCACCACAUGAAUUUAGUAUGCAGCUGCUUUUGCUGUCCAAAUAAGUUUUCAGAAAUGAAAUAGAAUUUUUGUUUUUGAGAAGAAGAGCGAUCAGCAUUGGUGAUUUAACUGUUGUGAUUUUUGACUGGACUGUUUGUUGAGAGUUGAGUACACGUUGAUGCAUCAAUUACCAACAUGCAGAUGCUAUACUCCAUAAAUUCUGGUCCUUCAAUGGGGAUAUUUCUUGACUCUGUUUGUGUCUGACUUUGGUGAAAAACGUAGGAUACAUCAAAUAUUUAACUUGGCCCAUUUGGUAACGUUCAUGUUUUUUUGUUUUUGUUCUUUUCUAAGAACAGAACAAAAUACUUAUUCUGUUUUUAUUUAUUUAUUUAUUUUGCAAAAACUGAACAUAAACACGUUUGGUUUACAAAAUUGUUUAAAAAAUGAAAAAAAUCAAACAUGUUUGGUUAGAGAUGUUUCAGAGGAAAUUUUGAUGCCUGGCUGCCAAAGUCAACAGACUCAACACAAUGCAGUGGAAGAACUUCUUGGAAUCAGCACCAAAUCUGAAAGCCUCAAAAGAUAUCUUAUAUCCAGAAUAUGAUUUAACAUGUUAUUUUGCAAUCAAAUGAUAUCCUUUACCAAAUCCUGCAAUAAUAGAUGCAUAUGACGGACAUGCUAAUAUAAUCACCGAAUUUGUUAAACAUGUAUAACAUUAAUUAAUAACUAAAUAUUAAAUAAUCAGAAUAUUUCCACCAAAGUAUUAAGGCUAUUUUCUUUAUCUUUCUGUCUUGUAUUUUUUCUGUUUACAUACAAUACUUAGAAGAGCUGGAGGGUGGGGGCAAAUCACCAAGAACAAUUGCUGGAAAAACACAAAGAUAGAGCAACUAGAAACAAUGUUAAUUGUACUUAAACCAGAACAAUAAGCUUGGGGUACAUUUUCAGGUUUAACUUGGCUUCUUGCUUAUGCCCGGAUCCCACUCUCUUCAGCUAUGAUUUAAAUGCAUCGUGUUAAUAAAUAAUCAAACAAAAAUACCAACAAUAGAAGAUGGAAAAUCUUACUUGAAAUUCCCUGUUUCCUGUCGAAAUAAUUAACUCUACAACACCCACAGAAUAUUUUUGGGUUGUAAAAAUCUAUUGGUUUGCAAACAAGAAAAAAAAAAUUAAAAGGGCAAGUUUAGGUAGAGUUAAAGGGACAAACAUUUAUGAGGAAAGAAGAAAUCAGAAGGGAUCAUUCUAGGGCUUUAAUUCUGGAGAAAAAAGAAAAGAAACCAGAAGCAGAUGACAAAGAGAUCCAUGAUCUAAAGUGGGGAGGGCCGCGGGAAGGGUGCAGAGGAAGAGUAGGAGGAGAGGAGAUCACCAAUUUUAGAAUUUAGGGAGGGAGAAAGGAGUGAGGGUUUGAGAAAGUUACCUUGAACAGCUGAACUGAAGUCUCAGAGCAGGAGAUACAGAGUGCGACAAUGAAAAAUUGCUAUAAGGAGAAAUAAAAGGGCUCGUGUCCUAAAUGUUGCUUGUCGAACAACUAGAAACAUCUUUUUUGGUGUAUCUAAAACAGGGCCCCUCUUUUGAACCAUUUCAUAUUUGGCAAAAACAGAAACAACCGUAACAAAAAUUGUUUUUUGUUUUCGUCUGUUGAAUUCUCUGAACAAAAACAAAAAAACACCAAACAAAAACAUUACCAAACGGCCCCUUCUGAAAGUAAAUCUUCGUCGUGUUGGAGAAUUUUGAUAAGACAAUUGUCAGAAAGAAGUUAUUUUUGUUGGUGCAAAAGUUAAAGUAUAUUCUGUUAGUAAAUUCAGAAGCAAUCAAAAGACAGCUGCAUUUUUAAGAGUUUUUAGAAAAAUGCUAUUGUAUAACUUUCUUGAAGAGUAGAGCAUGAUAUAUAGGUUGUUGGAGAGGGUGGUGGGAAAAAUUUUGCAAGAAAAUUUUUGAGAAACUGCUUUCCAACUGAACAACUUCUGGGACUUUCAUAUGCUCACUGAAUUGAAUAGUAAUCUGUUUGCUUGUGGUAACUGCUAACUGUUGUUAUUGGGUGAUCCAGAGUAGUGAGAAUCAUUAGCUGCUUAGUCUUAUUUGCGGCAUUUCUUACAUUUGGCUGCUUUAGAAUGUAUUAAUCACUAUUCCAGGUCUAGGCUUUAAAGAUCUUCUUUUCAAACAAGUUAGAAUCUGGGGGUAGAAGCUCUGGGAGAGCAUUUUGUAAACCCUCUAAUAUUCCGGUAUCACCAACAUUAGACAUGAGAGGAAAGAAGGAAGCUUCGGGAGAGCUUCUAAUUACUCGAUUCUACCCGAGGCAGGGAAAGAUGAUUUGGGAAAGCAUCUGACCUGACUUGGCAGUGAGACCGUCGGCUUCCCCUCCUCUCCUUUGCCUCUUCGGCUUCGGCUUGGAGUGCAGAUAAUAACCAGCUAGCUUACUGUACCUAAGGGGGGGAAAGGAUGAACAAUUUGGAUCCAUGUUACCAGCCUGGCAGGCUUCUAAAGCACUGCCAGUAGCCAAAAUAUACACAUUAACGAACCCCAUCUUGCAACAAAUAAGAAAACUACCUUCAAAGUUGUCCUUCAUUUUCUUUUUUAGCUAUGAAAUCUAGUGUUUCUAUACCAGCCUGGUAGGCUUCUAAAGCACUGCCAGUAACCAAAAUAUACACAUUUAACGAACCCCAUCUUGCAAAAAAUAAGAAAACUACCUUCAAAGUUGUCCUCAUUUUCUAUUUUAGCUAUGAAAUCCAGCGUUUCUACAUUCUGAGAAGAUUUUCUUUUCCUGGGCAACAAAUUUUAAGUCUCAUUGCAUUUUAAUUUGGCUGGUUUUCUUGGUUGUCUGUUCUUUUUUUUUUUUUUUUUUUAACUUAAUGGUCCAUGAUCUCUGGAAUGAUUUGUUUUAGUUAGAAAAUCAGAAGAUUAUAUUGACUGUUAAUUAGAUGAGAGUUUCUUUAAAACUAACUUGAUGACAUCCAUGGAAACAACUUUUCAAUCCUUCAAAGGUUUCAAGUUCCAUGACAAUUACUGGAGAUGACAAAUUACUAGAUUAGCUUGCACAGGUGUAAAAUUUCCGCUUUUUCUAUUGUUUUACAUCCUUCAGAGAAAUUAUUGAGUGUUGUAACUUUCCAUUUACUGCAAAUACGAGCGAUUGAUAUAUUAAACACAGCUGAUAACGGAAUUUGAUGAUUGUCAGAGUAGAGUGGUAAGUUGACAGAUUGUUUAGUUUCCUGUCAGUAUUUCAUGAAAGAUUUUAAUUUGUUUGAUGUUGUCAUUUGUUUAGGUUGAACUUUAUGACUGGCAAAUUGGCUUUCCAAUUUAGUGUUCCAGUGAUGUGUAGUUUCAUCACCAUUAACUAGAGAAAGGGAAAAAAAAAACAGUUAAUCAAUUUUUUCCUCAUUCUUUACCUGUCUGGAGGUUCAUUUAAUUUUUUAAUGCUUCAACAGAUUUUGUCCUGUUUUGGUACAUGGUAUUGGUGAAAGUUGCACUUAAGAAGAUAAAGGCUGUAUGAUUGUCUUAUAUUCUCUUCCACAAAGUUGCAAGUUGAACUAUUAUCUUAUAGACAAAAUAGAACUUUAGCAAAAAGAUCUCUUACUGAUUUUUUGUGUCAUAGUUGAUAUUCUUGGUUCUUCAUACUAAUGCUGAUACUUUAAUGGCCAGCACAAUAGUAGCAGAAACUAGCCAAAGUAUGAGGAUCAUGGAUUCUCGGGAAUUGCUCUCAAGCAUGGAUACUCUUAAAGUUCCAAUUCAUGGUGACGAAGUAGCGGUGAGGGUAGCAGCUGAUGUUGCUUCGCUGGAAUGUGGUAUAAGUGAACUUAAAAGUCUGUGUUGGAGACGCCCAGCCUUAGUGUGUAUCAUGGCUAAGCCACGGGAUUCACCUUCUACUGUGCAACUUUGUGUAGAGAAUUAUUGCUUGCUUAUUAAGCAAGAUGAUCUGGGUUAUGUUCCUGAAUCACUAAGAGAUUUUUUGGCUAAUCCAGAAAUAUGUUUUGUAAAUGUUGGUCCUGACAGGUUGUAUCUCGGGCCAUUCUUCCUGGAAAGAAAUGGGAUUGAGUUCAGUCAUUUAGUUUACAGGGUUCUAAGGAAGCAUUAUUUUAGCAGAUGGGGGUUGAAGCCUCUUGCAGAUGAAGUUGGAGUUGUUCUUGAAGAAUAUCCUGCUAGGUUUGGCCUAGACUGCAGGACUGAAGCUUUCUCUGCUGAGGAUGUCAAGUGGGCCAUUUAUCAUGUCUAUGCAUCUUUUAGGAUCAGUAGUAAACUCUUUGGUUCACUUUAAACUUCCUUUUUCUUUUAUUUUAGUAAGCUAUUUCUUCUUUUACAAUUUUCGUAAUUUUUCAAACAGUUGUAAAACUGUUAAACCUACCAUUUUUCUUCCCUCCCUCUCUGUUUGUUUCGACCGCAAUGUAUCAUGUAUUUGUAACGGUUCACAACAUGGCAUCCGCUUGGACGACUUGAACCUCCCUUCUCCAUAGUGGUGGUGCAUGUUUACUUAUUUGUUGCUAAAUAGUCUGUACUUCAGGAAUGCAGUAGCAGUAACUUUGGUGCCUAGCAAGUCAGUUAGAUAUUCUAACGUGUUAUUGUGUAACACUUAUCACAAAGGGCUGACUCUAUGUAGCAUUUAGCUAUGCAGAACAUUAAGAUCUAGGAAUUUGCAACAGGUUUGAUCCAUUUUCUAGUCCACACUCUGGCACUCCACGACUCAGUUUCCUGGAUGUGGUCUAUACUUGCUUAUGUAAAACGUCCAGAGGGAAAGAGAUUUGGUAGAGUAGCAAUGACAAAUGAAUUUCCUUUUGCUAUGCAACAAAGAUCUUUUGAGUUUUCUAGGUAGCUAAGAGGUACAAGCCACGCAGAAGUUUGCAGAACCUCAGUUUCCAGGAUGCAUGACAAAGAUGAAAGAUGAAAUCACCACCCCCUUCUGUUAAGUGGAAUGCUGUUUGAGCUUAACCUGAAUACUUGGCCACAACUUUAGUUCUGGACUGUAAGUACAAUCUCCCAUAAGCAUGCUUUUUCGAGUUUUUAUUAUCUCUACAAAGUGCAGAACAGCUAUGUAUUGAAUUGGCUUUCAUCAUCUCUAAUUACAUUAGUGAAAGGGCCAAAAAAACAUAGAAAGAAAUGUUCUGAGGAUUCCACAAUAGAGUUGUUUGUCAUCUUACAUUACCUUUCAAGGUACAACAGUUUUCCUGUUGUGAGUUUCUACAUUGUGAUAGAAUUCGCCGUUAAUCCCAAGGUCUUUAAACUGUUGAUCUCUAGUAUCCCAUGAAACUACCGUAUCAGUUAUCCAUCUGAAGAAGAAUAAGUUUGCCAUCCUGUGUAAACCCCAAUACCUUCUUUGUCUCAACAAUAAACUGUUUAGUCCAUGACUUGGUAACAUUAUACUCCUCCAUCACCCAUAUCUCAUAAUAGCAUUUCAUCUCUUCUUGUUCUCUUCCAUUAGGAGGGAGAUUCCACGAACAGAACAGCGCAAGUAACUCCUCGAAUACCAACAGAACCCCAUCCGACAAAGGUGAACGUUCAGCAGGCAGAACUAUUGCUGAGAACACCUCAUUACUGACAUGAAAUGCCAUGAUUGCGUCCCAAACCUCAUCAUCCCUUCUGCUUGCCAGCCAAUUUAUUGCUCCAUCGCACGUUACAGGCCGAUGAUGAGCAUAAUCAGCGAUACAAGGAACACCUGCCUGGAUUGUUCUCCAUGAAUCAGUGAUUAAACUAUAAACUUCAACUUCGCAAGCCACUUUGCCCAACAUGGUUGCCUUGUUAUAGGGGUAAUGUAACCAAUCCUCACAAUCUUAUGCUGAUCAGUCCAUCGACAAUAUCCUAAUACAAGGCUGAAAAACACUUCUGCGUGGCCAAAAAACACAUCUCUUGGGAAUGCGAGAGAGAAGAUAGUUUGGAAACGGUUGGUUGCUGCAGGAUUAUACAAGAAGAGUUUGGUUCCUAAAAUUCUUCUCAUCCCAAAGGCUAAACACAUUAAACCAUGGCAUGAACUGCCUAUAGAAACAAGUUCAUGUGCCUCAAUACAUCGUAAAGGAAAAUGAUAUUUUCUAUGUUCAAGAAACCUCUCGUCUCUAAGUACUAAGCAAAAUUGUUUGGAUGGCUGAUUACUACAAGUAAGACUUUUCUUUCUUUGGCCUGACAAGGAUAUUACUCGGAAAUGAACUUCUAUGCAUGUGUAUGAUGAUGAAACUUGGGCUGGUGAUGAGUGAAUGCCAUCAUUUGCAGACUAGUAAAAAUCUUACAAGGUACUCUACUGGCAACCUCACAAGAAUUUCGAUCAGGAUUUCAAUCGGGAUAUGAUUGCUGGUGUUGGUUUCUGGGCCAUGUUGCCUUGGAAUUUCCAUGGUUCUGGUGCGUGUAUUUGCUAGGAGUGUGUGAAACAAUUCAUUGCCCCGUAAUGGUUUGAGAGAAAUUGUUGUAUUUGCACCUUUGGAUAGGUCGAAAGAGUCAAGAGAGAGCGGCCAUGCCUGUUCGCAGACGAUGCACCAUUAUUCUGAUGACCUGGUUUCCCAAAAGAGUUGUUUAUGCAUUUAACAGUAACAGUCAUAGUAAAAUAGUCAUAUUGCUUGUUCAGCGAUGGGACAACUAUUAUGUCUGGUGGAAGUGGAAGGUCAUGGGUUCAACCCUUAUCUCCUAUCUUGCGUUCCUCCGAUGGAAAAAUUCUGUCGAUUCCGCAUUCCCUUAAAUUAGGUUAAAGUAGGUUGUACAAAUGUUAUCGUUGCGAUAAAAAAAAGAAAGAAAGAUGGGACAACUAUUAAUUAAUACUUUGUAAGAUUUUGAUAUGUUUUACCGUUCAGUUAAAGGUAAGUCAAGAAGAGUUGAUAGAUUCACCCAGAAAUAGAAAAAUUAAAUUAAAAAAAAUCAUAUAUAUAUUUUUUUAUAUAUGCCAAAAUUAAAAUGAAUCAUAGGUUAACAGGCUAAGAGUAGAUAAGUUUUCCAUGGAAAAAAAAAAAAAGAGAACUCGUACAUCCUAAAAUGAGAGGGAAUCAUAAGGCUUGCUUUAAACCAAGCAUUUUGAGACAUGUUAACCACACCAUCCAUAUGCCACGGGGCCGGGGGGAGAUCAGAACAGAAUAUUUUUGUUCAAAUAAGCUAUUAAUAUUGCUGCACAAGAUGCUGAUUGUUUCCAUUAAGAGGAAAUACCAGAACAACAAAUCGAUAGUUCGAUCAAAAAACACUCUUUUAUCAAUGUAUGUUGAGAUUCAGUAGCCUACUCGGCAAUGAAAGAAGAGAUGAACCUGUUAAAAGCCUCUAAACAUAAAUUACCUCCUCUGCAACUUCUGGUGCUAACGUUGAGCUAACCUGCAACAAAAGCUACAUAAUGAGUCAAAAUCUUAAUACACAUCUCAAACAGAGAUUUCAGUGCCUAAAGAAUGUCCACUGCAAAAGUUAGAAUAACUUCGCAAGAUCUUAGGAGCUAGGAGUCACUUCCCUUGUACAGUAUUCACAGGUAAGGCUCUUGGAGAAGGGUACAUGGGCUGAGGUAGAGAUCUACAUCCAUGGUCCACUAGUAUGAGUAACUCCCUUGAAGAACUCUUCAAGAAAACAAUGUACCACUCCCCCUGAUAACCACUUGCCUGAUUCACUUUCACAUGAAAAUCAUGGCAUGCCAUCAGAUCUUCCAUAAUCACAACCUAUCAUAAACGCUCUCUUUCUUGUGGCGAGUACGAUCAGGCUUAUAGUUCAUCUUAAUGCCAUGUCUGCUGCAUACCUGACUUAUAGUCCUGUCUUUUUUUCUAACUGAUACUGGUCACAUAGCCCAAAAUUUGGAGCACAAAGACACCCAAAAAAGUGUAUGCUCCGUUUCACUUAUAAACCAUCCAGUAGUUUGUGUUACUUUAAACAGUGCAAACCAACCAUUACCACCUCCAAAUCUUAAGCUUCUGUACUUCAGCCAGUUAUUGGGCUUGAAAAAAUCAAACUCGCCAAUGUUGAAAGUUACUUGAAGAUAUAUCCUCACAUUGAACCAUAUCUUUGGUCACAUUUCAUGUGUAUGCUGCACUUCCAGAACUGUACAUCAUUAACUGGUUCAUUUGCAGCAACAGUCAAGCGUGCAAAAUAAGCAUAUCAGUACUUCAAAUCAAUUACCAAACGUGCAUAAAUCAAGAAAAGACAAGCAAAUUAAUAAGCAGUCCAACAUUGAAAAGGACUAAUAAUUAAAACUUCCAAUUAUCACAUUACCUAUAAGAUUGUAUAAAAUAUCUAACAUGUCACUAAAAUAUUAUGAUCGUAGAGUUUUGGCCACUGAAUUCUUAAAACCUUCAAAUAGCUCACCCAACUACUAAAUCCCUCAACAAUUGGUCAUUCUGUCUAACGUCAUUGUCAAGACUUCUUCAUUCAGUUAAAUCUAGGAUUUUUACCUCUACAUAAAAUAAAUUAAAUUAUAGAAGCAAAGAAAAUUACCAUAUAACAUGGUUAAGAAAAUGAAAAGAGAUGGAGAAGAAAUAUGUCAACAAGAAUAAGGAAAACACAAAUUGAUUGAUUUUUCUUCUUCUGUCUUUUAUCUUUCUUUUAUGAGAGUAUCAUCUGUGGAAAUAAAUGCCCCUAAACUUAGUCAAAUUAAAGAAAUUCAAUGGCCAUAAUGGACCGAAUGACCAUUUGUAUACAGAAUUAUUGACCUAUCUGAAACUUCUAAUAGUUAAGUGACCAGAACACUAAGAUGAGAAUAAAUUUAGCAGGCUUAGGUAAUUUUACCUAACUCAUAAUAACUCCCCCCACAAGUGGAAACUCUCUGCCAUACCUGAAAAUAAUAGAGGACAAAGUGAGUAACUUUCAUUACCAAUGCAACAUUUCUUUCUUUCUUUGCAUAAACAACAAGAUUGAUAAGGAAAAGCACUUCAGAAGUUAAAGGUCAUGCUUUCAAAAUGUCUGAAUAUAAACAUAUAAAAUGUGACGGAUUUAAGCUAUUCCAGCUGUAGUACUUAAGCUGGAAAGUUAAAACCAUAAUCAAAAUGUCCUACCGCAGGCACCGACAGAAACUGUACAAAACAUUAUCUAAUUAGCAAUGAACCAAGCAUUUAGGAGAAAUUACCAUUUAGCAUGAGAUAAAAGAAGAAACAAGCACAGCUCAGCAACUGUCUUCAAAUUUAAUGGAAAUUCACAAGAAAAAAAACACACGAAAGACAUGAUCUAGCAUGAUCUAUAAUACUUUUUUGGGCCACUUUUUUAGACGGUUGAACAAGGGCCAAUGGACCACAAAGAAGGAUUGGACUCACACAGAGUCAAAAGAAGUAAGAAAAGUAAUUCAAUCAGCAAUAACGUGUCAAGAAAAAAAUGACAAAUGGCAAAACCAUGAUUAAAUUUGCAAUCAAUCUUGAUGCAUUGACCAAAAAGAAGUUGUUGAAUCAAACUUUAAUGCUAAAAGAACCAAUGCUAACAGUUGCCAAUCAUCUAUGCUUGCAUGAAUUUGUAACAGAUUUACCUGCUGUUAAUACAGUUGUAGGAAGAAUACAAUCAAUGCCAGUGAUGUAAUACCUCCACCUAUCACUGGGUCCACAAGUUUCAGAUGGAGCGAACUUUGACGGCAACAAUUACCUGAAAACAGAAGCAACCCAAGAAAAAAAAGUUUCAGAACAAAGUCAAACAAAUUCAUUCAACAAAAUGAAAAUAUAGUAAAACAACUAUAAUAGACUAAAGACUAUAGUUCUACUGCACUAUAAUAUAGAUAUGCUGAUAUCAGAAUGAAUAUUGCUGUUAAUUUUGGAGGAUAGAAAAUUAUAGCUUGCGGUCAAGGAUUAUGAGUUUCAAAGAUUAGAUUAGAAGGAACUCAGAAUAAUUUAUGUGACUAAAGCAAUAGAUUUAUUGACCCUUAAUAUUAGAACCAUAAGAUAUAUUUCUUGAACAGAUACAUAUAAUAUUCUAAGAAACGAGGUCAUUAUGGGUUCUCCAAAUGGCAGAGGAAGCAAAAAUAGCAUUUAUGUACAGAGUAAUAAUAUCACACCUACUUGCUGAUAUGCUCAAGAUGAUUUUCCAACCAAAGAAACUCGAAUAAGAAGUCUUACACGUUGAACAUACCGAGAAUUAUUUCUGCUAAAAUAAGACAGUAUUACUCCUUGUUAUAUAUAUACACUAUGGAGUUUAAGAAUCAAUCAUAGCUAUGCCAAAAAAAAAAAUCAUAGCUAUGCAAGAAAGUUUUACUAGAGAACUGCAGAAGUCUUGCCAAGUUUUACCACGACCAAUUGAAGUGUCACCAAGGGAAGCAACUGCCAAAAGGAAUACGUCAUCACUAGGUCUAAAUUGUGAACCUAAAAAAUCUAGAGCUUCAAAAUCUCUUCCCCAGUAUGUAAAUUUGUUGGCAUGCUAAAAUGAAUUUUGAGAAAACAAAAUUUUAUAUAGCUAAAUCAGGUGAUAUAGAAGCGAAAUUUCUUAAAAACUGUAUCAGACUAUGAAAGCUUAAGGAAAAUAAACAUGGAUGCCAGAGAUGUUAGAGAAAGUCUAAAGAGGCACCGGAUCAAUACAUUGGCUUUUCAGAAGAUUUGCAAGCCUCUUCUGGAUAAAAUACUUAUGUAUGGGGAUUAUCUAACCCAUAUUAUCUAACUGUAAAAUAUUCAAAGGAUAAAGCAUAGCAAAAUAUGAAGAAAACUCAGCAACUUCCCUUUCGACUCUAUUCAAUAGAUGAGAUGCUCAUAUUUAGUCAUGCUGUUUACCUGUAUAAUUACAAUCACUAAGUGUGCUAAGUGUUGAUGCAUGAUUAGGAAAUGUCUAACAUAUAUCCAGAACACAAAUUCUAGAUUUUGGCCGUGGAAAUCAUCAAUGGACACACAUAAAGGUGUCAGAAUAGUGUAGCUCUCAGCAUUUAGCAGGAGUCCAGCAUGAAAGACUGAGGCAUUUUAAGAAAAUUUGAUACUCAUUAAAGAAAAUUGCAAGAACAUAUGAGCUGUUGGCGAGAAUAAUCGUUUAAGAUAGAAGGUAGGUCGUCUAAUAGACAGCAGUGCUAAAUCCGAACCAUAACCAGACACUGGAUGGAAAAACUGUAUAUGAGUAAUAGGAAAAUGCCUAAUGUCUAAAUUUGGAUCAACAUAGUUGAAGCAUAUAAAAGAGUAGUAAACCGAGUCACUAGCAUUGAGCUGUGCUAGUGCCUGGUGCUAGUGUGAUACCAAAAAAAAAACGGAAAGCUGGCUGCCAGUUAACAAAGAAAUGGUGAUUAGGAGUCUUUCUCAUAGCACCAUGUAAGGAAGGGGAAAUUCUCCGAGAGCGGGUGGGUAGAGCUUUUGUGGUACCAAAGAUGCCCAAAAAGCUAAGAUAAAAAGUUGGCUUUUAACUCAGAAUAAGACCUACUUCACAGAAAGAAAGAUGCUAGAAUUUCCUAUAACAAAACCUAGCAAUAAUACAAGCCUUUAUCACCUAUUCAAAGAUUUAAAACAACUUUUAGAAUUUAGCAAAGACCUCUUACAAGCUUGGGGAAGUUUCUGUAUCUCAUCUUCUAGUUGCAAUUAAAAAGUGCCACUCCAUUGCUCAUCCAGUGGAGUUCAAAGUAGAACUUUAAAAAACUCAUUUGAGCAAGAAACAACAUGAUCAAUUUGGGUAAUAUGCCUCCUAAAACAAAAUGGCCUUCAGGCCUCCACUCCAUGAAAAAAGAACCACAUAUGAGGUCGCACACAAAGAAGUUUUACAUAAAACAAGAUCAAUGUCGGUCUUCUACAGCCAGUCCUAGCUUUCUUCUUUACGUCCCAUCCUACUUUUGCACAGUCAAUCAGUUAUUCAAUGCAUAAAGACAUUUUUCACCCUCUCUGAAUUUGCAGCUCAUAAAAAGUCCAGCUUGAGUUUAGAACAUAUACAGGACACAUAAGUAUACAAUAGUUUAGACAAAAAACUAGUGCAUUAGGCAUCCAUUAUGCAGAAUGUCUGCAUGGCAUAUUGAACUAGAAAUGUGUUCUGUAUGAUAUCCAUCGAAAUUAAAAGUAAUGCUUUAUUCAUGUUAGAAUAUAAGAGAGAGAGAGAGAGAGAGAGAGAGAGAGAGAAAUUUUAAUCACGGAAGAAAUCCAUGAGAAGCAUAAUCCCAAGGAACAUCCUUUCUGUUUACACACAUUCUUCCCAGUCAACAAGAAAGACCUAGAGUUAAAUAUCAUUUUUGACCCAAAAACACAAAAAAAAAAAAGAAAAAGAAAAAAGGCUAUUGGUUUUACCUCUAAUUGUCUAGUAAAAGAUUCACAACAUAAUGAUAUGAAGACACAAGUCUCCUUAUAAGCAUCAAACUUCCUCAGAUCUCAAAGUCCAAUAUCUUCAAAGCAAGUCAUUGAUGCUCAGAUACAGCAUAAGAAGGAUAGCUAACAGUAUGCUCCAAAAUCCAUUCUUCUUGGCCUGCAAAAGGAUAGCGAAAGAAGAGAAAUACCUGAAAGCUAAAUAUCAAUGUGACAUUGGAUAAAUACAAAUUUUAAAGCAAGUGAAAUCAAAAUUCCACAAAAAUUUCAUUUAGCAUCAGAUACAAAGAUGUUGAUGCAUAUCAAAGCUCCAGAGUCUCUAAACAUAUGUUGAGAAGAGCAGAUGAAGCCCUUUUAUGCAGAAAGACAUUUAAAAUUCAAAACUUUCCCCACAUUAAAAAUCAAACAACCUAAGCCUGAAGGGAGGAAAGGUAUAGUUGGGAUCCAAAUAUAUCUGAUAAAGCUUAGAAGUAACUAUAUUAGCAGAGAUAAGGGAUCAACACUUCGGGUUUUGUCAUAACGAUACUCACUUUGAAGGACAAGAAUUUCCUCUAUCAGUAGAAUCAGUUCAAAAAACAAAGAACAGCAAUAACUGCAGAUUAUGUACAUUUAACUAAGCCAAGAUAAGACCAAAGGAGCUUGAAAUGCAAAUAGUCCGUGGUUCUAAACAUGCUGUGAAACUACUAGCAAAAAUUCAUAGGUAGGCAUUUGUUGCACAACAGAUCUGCAUACAAAAUAGCAGACAAGUAAACACAACCAAUUAAGAAACACAAACAGAUAAGUUGAAAUCAUCUUGCCUUUUCUUUUGAUCCACAGCUUCCUCUUCCUUUUGUUCAUAUUUCUAAUCCAUAUGUCCAUCCAGGUUAGCUUGUUCAUCCAGUAGGAGCAAGCUUUCCAUGUAUGUUAUCAAGAAACAGCUAUGCGGGCAAUACUUAGGAAGCCCAAGAUUCUUCACUUCCUGCUCCUUAAAAUCAUAUGCCACCACUUUUGAAUCAGGGGUGAGAAGCAGAAUAUCACAGUUUUUAGUAACCCCUAGAGACCAAACUAUCCUCUGUUCCGUUACCACAUUGAACAAUCUCUCCCAAGAGUUGGUCACACCAUACUCUCUCAUCACCCACAAACUCCAAGUACCAGUCCCUUCAAGAGCUGCAAAAUUUCCACAAACAAAAAAUGCAAGCAUGUCCUUGUAUUCCUUGAGCAAUGGACCUCUAUAAUCCCCCUCCAUCUCUAAAUCCGGCAACUCUAGUGUCCUAAAAUCUUCACUUUUAACAUCAAAAGCCACAAUCAAAUCUUCAUCGUGUCGUUCAGGAUGAAAUGCAAGCCAAUUAACAAACCCAUUCACAUAUAAAAUUCGCAAUUGGCAGUAAAUAAUCCAAUUAACGACUAAAUUCUCAAUCUUUCUCCAAGAACCUGUACUCAGAUUGUAGACCUCAAUCUCAGUCUUCUCCAGGUCAUAGGGAGCUUCACAAUUUGGGCUAUCAUAUAUAAUCCUAACCAACUUAAAGACACCUGCAUCAAAAUCGUAACCACAACCAGGGGAAAUCCAACUAAAUUCCUUAGAUAUCCCUUCACAGCUAGAAUUCCUAAUGGUUAUAAUUCUCCUAACUGAAGGGUUCCACAAAUAGACAACCCGACCGUAUAAUACGUCAUCAUUUUCUGUGAGGCAAAGCAAUCCAGCACAUGAAUCAACAACCGAACAUGACCCAGAUACAAAAUCAAUGGGGGGUUUCAAUUCUAAGACCUUCGCUUAUCCAUUAGGCCCAUCAGAUAACAGAUGGUAUGCAGUUUCUCGCUUUUCCCCGUCCAAAAACAUAUGAAAAAGAUACCCAGUUGAUGGAUCAUCUUUAUAACUAGAAAAGCAAUUACUAAGGUGGGUUCUAAUAAACGAUGGAGAUCUUAUAAAUUGACACCAUGAUUUGCGAAUGAAAAUGAAAUUGGCUAGACUUCUUGAAGGCAAUCUUACAAGAAUGUCACCGAAGAUUACUUCUUCUGGGAUGCUUUGAUUCCUUUCGCCCGCCAAUCGCUGUUUUGCUCAGCCAUUGACUCGGAUUAAUUAGAUGGGAGAUAUCAGGUUGAAGAUGGUGGCAGAAUUAGCAGCGAAUUGGAGAGGUCGCCGUUCGGGGAGCAGAAGAGUUGAUUAACUGAAGUGUUUGCCGAUUUGGCAGGGAGUUAUAAAGUGACAGUGACAGAUCGGAAAUUUUGGAAUUUUGUACUAUUGCGUGUCAUGAAUUCAUUUAUUAAAGGCCAUGGAAUGUAAUGCUCGAAUUUUUUUUUUUAAAACGCUCUAAAAAAACAACUAAUUCAUGGUUAUUACAGAAAUACGGUUUCAUUUGUAUACAUCACCUUCUACUAUGCAAUUUUAGGCUCAAGAAAUAGUAAAAUACACAUAGUUGCAUGUGUAUUUGAAGAUGAGUAUAAAACUUGUGAGAAAUAUAUAAAAUAAAAUUUUACAUGAUUUUAGCAAAAGCAUAAAUGAUGGAUUCUGAACCAACUUCCCUCGCGUAAAUUGAUGAGUUGAUCAUUAGGUAAAGCAUAAAGUGCAAAUCUGGUUACAAGUUAGGAUUUCAAACCUUUGCACAUGUUUUAAAAUUUAAAUGGUAUGUAGUAGUGCAUCCUUUUGGUUUAGAGAUAAGAUCCUCUUCCUCUAAUUUUUCUUAGUCCAAUUGAUCCCUCCCCUAAUAUAGGUUAAACCUACGUAUAAAACUAUAAAUGGUCGGUUGUUACUCUGUAGUUUUAGUCAAAGUAUGGAUAGUUUGAUACACAUACGCAGAAUGUGCUUUUUAUUACAAAGUAUAAAAAUGUAAGAAAAGUAGAAAUUGCACAUUUUGCAUGAUACUAGGUAAUCAAAUUGCUUAAUCAUGUAUAACAAUAUAUUUAGCGCUUUUAAACUUUGAAGUAUACAAAUAUGUUUCCAUGAAUAUCAUUAAGCUCUUUUUAACAAAAUCCUCAGCUAGUCCGGACUUAAAUGUUCAAAAUAUUGCCCAAAUUUAACAAGUUCAAUCAAAUGACCUAGAGACUACUAAGGUUGAGCAUAGCAUUAACAAGUUAAAAUACUAGAAAUGUCUGUGUAACCGAAAUCAUAAAUUCUUGAAGGGAAAAACUUCUACUUGGAAGAAGAUAGUUGUCGUCUAAAAAUUAGUAAGAAGAAAUUUGGAAUAAAAAGGACGAGUAACCGUAGAGAUUGCUGAUUUGGAAGCCAAGCAUAAGUGACAAUUCGGCAUAUGGUAAUUUUCUUGGAUUUGUGCGCCAUUGAUUCAGUAUGGACUACGGCCCAUUACGACUGCCGUUACAAUUGUUUGUGGCAAUUUAUUUGAUGGAGCCUUAUGCCAAUGAAUUAGUUCCUCAUGGAUUUGGUGUUUUUAGGAUAUUUUUUUAAAAUCGGCUAGAUUUCUUGAAGGCAAUCUUACAAGAAGAAUGUCUACUUCUUCUGGGAGGCUUUGAUUUUUUUCGCCCACCAAUUGCUUGUUUUGCUCAGCCAUUGAUUCGGAAUAAUUAGAUGGGAGAUAUCGGGAUGGAGAUGGUGGCAGAAUUGGCAGCAAAUUGGAACGAUCGCCGUUGGGGGAGCAAAAGAGUUGAGUAACUGAAGUGUUUGCUGAUUUGGCAGGGCGUCAUAAAGCGACAGUGACAGAUUGGAAAUUUGGAAUUUUGUACUAUUGUGUGUCGUGAAUUCAUUUAUUCAGGGCCAUGGAAUUAUGCUGUGUGAUGAGUGGUUGUGGGUGAAAGGAGAAGAGGUUAUAAAUUAUUUAUUUAUUAGAUGUAAUUGAGAUUGUGUGUAUUAUUGAAAUUAUUUUUGGAGUGUGACUGUAGAUUUCAAAAACAAAAACAUUUUAAGGAGUCUUACUAUAGACUUCAAAAUGUGUAGAAUAUUUCAAUUGUGUACACAAAAUUUAGCUUUACUAGUAGGGACAUUGACCAAAUGAUCUUGAAGUUUUCAAUGCUACUCUCAAGACUUUCCUUUUCCUUUUUUUCAUUGUAGGAUUUGGAAUCUCCUUUAAAGCCAAAAACAAAAAAAAUCAACGGCACGACACACGUGCAUUGUACGUGUUUUUUACUACAAAGUGCAAUAAAUCCAAUGAGUGUAGAAAUGAUAAUGUUACAUGACACGGAGUAAUCUACCUGUUUAAUGAUAUAUAAUAAUCUUAGGCAACUUUUUAAGCUUUGAAGCAUACAAAUAUUAUUUCCAUAAAUAUCAUAUAGCUGUUUUAACUAGAUCCUUAGCUUGCCCCAAGUUAAAUGUUUUGUAACUUUCUAAUUUAAACAAGUUUAAUCUAGGUGAUAAUUAAUCAAGUAGCUUACUUGAACUCAUUAGCAGUUUGGUCAACUGCUUGACUCGAACUCGGCGAUGACCGAAUUCAAGUCAAGUUUGAACUGCUUGAUUGAGAUUUCGAGUCAAAUUCGAGUACAGAUUUGGAAGAAUCGAAGGUUCGACAAGCUCUAUCGAGUUUUCUAUUGAAUAUUUGAUUAUUAUAUUAUUAUUUUUCAAAUUAAUAUUUUAGGUUUAUUUGUUACAAUAUUUAGCUAUCAUAUAUUUCAAAACUGUUUAUCGAGUUCGAAGAUAAGGCUUGAAAAUUUUUUGAGCUCUGACAAGUCAAGCUCGAACUCAUAAAAAACUCUAGCAAGUUAAGUUCGAGUUCAAGUUCAACUUAGAAUACUCGUUCGACUCGACUUGAUAUCGCCCCUAGUUUAAUUUGGAGACAUAGAGACUUCUAAGAUUGAGUACACCAUCAAGAAACUUGCAAUCCUUUGACUCGUUGAACUGAUGCAUUUUCAAUUAUAAUCAGAACUUCUUAAAAGGAAAUAAAAUUAUGGUAUGAUAUGCAAAUGAAAAGAAAAUUGGCUAGAAUUCUUGAGGGCAAUUUUACGAGAAAUUUAACAACUAUCACUUCUACUGGCAAACUUUUAUUGCCAUUUUUCUCCUCCAAGGAUUACUAGAAACUUACAAUGGUGGGAUUAAUUCUAAUAGUUGAGGUUAAGAUUCUCUAGGGCUCUGAUUCCCUUAUCCUUUCUUGUUUUUUAAAUUAAAUUCCACAUCUUUCUUGUUAAAAAAAAUUUUAAAAAUAAGUAUAGAAUGGAAAUUCUAAAAUAUCUAACAUCCAUAUAUAGCAUAGUAAUCUAGAUAUAUGAGAGAUAUAAAAUUUCAAAAGAAAUCAACUAAAAAAUAAAAGAAAUUCUCACAUAGAAGUUUUAGGAGAAGAGAAAACUCGUACAAAAAAUUCCUUCCAACGGACGAAAUAAAAACCAGAAAGAGUGUUCUCCCUUAUGGAGAAAAGAUAAAUCUUUAUUUCCAUACGGGUUUCUAAGCAUGUGUACAUGUAUUGCAAUAUUGUUGUAUUUUGAUUAUAUUCAUCGGUUUUGUGUGACUUACAUCUUUAUUUUUGGUUAAUUAUUUAGGGGAAUAAAGAAGGAUCGAUAGAGAAAAUAGUGGUAGUGUUGUACGUUAUAAGAGGCCGACUUGUUAGGAAGCCAAAUUGAGAGAUGAAAUUCUUUUUUUUUUUGUGGAGGGGGAGCGGGUAAGAAGGAGAUCUUGAUUCUAAAACCUCCUACUUAUAAUCAUUCCUUUCUUACCACUUAACUCAACCCUGCCCAAGAUGAAGUUGGUUAAACACUCGGUGGCAUGUGCAGCUCAUCUAAAGGAACACCGUAUUGCUCUUUAGUAUUCAGUAUCUAAUAUCAGUUGCACGUAUAUUCUUUGCAUAUAAGCGUUUUGUAAAGUAGUCAUUGACAAAUUAAUUUAUGAUAUGUAAUUUUUACUUUUUUACCAACUAAUACUAAUCUAUCAAAAUCAAAACCAAAACUACGUGCAAUCAAGGUAAAAUCCUUUCAUGUUUUAGUCCCGUUAGAGUCUCCAAUGCAUAUGAUUCUCCUUACAGAAGGGUUCUAAAGAUUAAUAAUUUGACAAAAAAAAUAUCCUUCUUUUCACUAAGCUAAAGAAAGUUACUGCACGAAUUGAGCAAGACGAAAAUCCAAAAUAUUCAGGGCUUUUGAUUUUAAUGUUGCCAUAAUUAUUUGUUUUCCACAUCAAUAAACAUGUUUUAGAGAAUCAAUUCAGAUUGUUUUUCUAGCUAGAACUGCACUAAUUAAGAUGGACACGAGUAUAGCAUAGAGAUAUAAUAAAAGUACACCAUGAUUCAUGAACAAUAUAGUGGGGAUAUUAUCGAAUCCUUAUACUAUAUAAGAUUGAGAUUUAGUGCCUGUUUGAUAACAUAAAAAAGUGCUGAAACUGAAUUCAUUCAGACAUUCAGAUGUUGUGAGUGUUUGAUAAAUAAAAAUUCACCUGCUGAACUUAUUAGGUGGUGCUGAAUUUGUAUGUAUUUUUUUUCAGCACAAGAAUCGUAGCUGAAUGCUUAAUUUGAUAAGAAUCAAGAGAUUUACUUCAACUACUUUAUCUUAUCUACCAAAUAUAUCCCUGUUUGUUAAUUACAUUCAAAAUCCUUAUCUAAUUAAACAACCUAAUAUUCCUUAUUCAAAAUCCUUAUCUAAUUAAACAAAACAACCUGAUAUUCUCUAUUCAAAUUUUUUUUUUAACAAUAGUAUUUUUUUGCAGUAAUUUUCAUCCACAAACAUUUAUAUUUUGAUAUAUAUAUUUUUUGUACAGAUAAAUAUUAUUUAUGUGAUGCAGCUUAUCCACACACACGUGGCUUUAUGACACUAUAUCGAAAUAUUAGAUAUUGGUUGUCUGAUUUUCGAAAUGCUUCUCGUCCAAGAUCAAAAUAAGAACGCUUUAACCAAGCACAUGCAAGAUUGAGAAAUGUAAUUGAACGUGCUUUUAGAGUAUUAAAAGCUCGUUUUUCCAUUCUCAAAAGAAUGAAACCAUACCCUUUUCCCACACAAAGAAACAUUGUCAUUGUAUGCAUUGCUCUUCACAAUCAUUGUCAUUUUCAUACCUAACAAUUUUAAGUUAAUUAAAUCAUAGGUUUUAUUUCCUUUUUGGAUUAAAAGAUAGAAGGACAAAAUUGUACAAUCUAACUUAUUAAGCAUUAAAUUAUGAAUAUUUAUCAAACAGUAUAAAUAGAUUCAGCAUUAAGAUUCAGACAUUCAUAUAUCUCUUUUCAAUGCUUAAAAUUCAGCAAAUUAAUUAUUUCAGUAUUCAGAAUUCAGAAUUCAGAUUCAGUGUUAUCAAACGGAGCCUUAGUCAAAGAGGGUGUUGAAUUUCAACCACAUGGGCAGGAGUAUUUUGGAAAUUUGAAAAAUGUGUUGCUUUUUUCAACCUUUUGGUACAACUGAUUGCAGCAUAUGUUUGGGUGUUUUUACAUUAGAACUCCCAUAUUUGUACAUUUAAAACUUGUAUUUAUAGACACAUCUGGGCAUUUGUGGAAUGUGGGCUUAUUUGGCGAUCAUUUGUGCAUUUGGUCCAAUUCAUAUAAGCGUGUGUUUUUGUGCAAUUACUGAAAUGAGGUUAUUAUGUAAUUAAAAUAGAACCACAUUGCUUGCUGAUAACCUCAGUAAUUGCAGUAUAGCUCCAUUUCAAUUGUCUGAAACACUCAUAAUUAUAUCAACACUUAUUUUUCUAUGUCUGAAGUUUAUUAGAAGUUCAGUUGUUGGAAACAGUUUCUCUACUAGCAAUAAAACACUAUUUAUAUCCCCAUUAAACGGCCAAUAAUGUGGGUAUGCUGCUAAGUUAUUGUCUCAAUUAUGGCUUUUUCAAUUCUUCCUCCUUCACAUUCUUCUGUUUUCCCCUUUUUUGCUUUCAUGGUUGCAGUAUUUUUUCAGCAUUUACACUCAGCAUUUCAUAAUGGUUUUCAGCAGAAGUUAUAUUUCCUUAAUAUUACUUAUGUGCUGUUAUAUUAUAUUUAUCUUCAUUUAUUUUCUUACCACAGGUGUGACAGCCCCACUUUCCCCUAAGACGAACCAAAGAAAUUAGCAAACUGCCUGCCCAACUCUCGCCAGGACUAACGGUGUAGGCAAAUACGAUCUAAGACGUUUCGGGAAAAUAAUACGCGCUCACACAAGCCGAAAUUGCAAAAUAGCUAAACGCAAACUAAACCGUCGGUGAAUAGUGGGUUCCAUGUCAUAUAACUCGAAAAAAUAUUUCCAACUAAAUAGGACACAUAAACGGGGUUAAAACAGUGUUAUACACAUACGUUUGUAAAUUUACAAAACAAAAGGGAGAUAAUUGAAUCAAAAUACAUUUAGGAUUUUGCCCAAAAGGAGCUAUUCAAAUUACAGUCACAUAAGCUCAACUCGGCAACCAACAUGCAUAGCCUUUCCAAAAGGAUUCAAAUUCCUGUAAGGAAAACAAAAGGAAUAUAGUGAGUUUACGCCCAGUGAGACAUUACCACUCAAGCAACGAAGAUCAUAUAAGCAGAUAGCAUUUCAUUCCAAUUCAUCUAAUAAAAGUAAGCCAAGAGUACACAUCAAUAAAAUUGGUAAAAGGAUACAGACGGCUCUCAAGAGCCCCUUUCCUUGCUUGUAUACUUGAUCGGACUUCAUUGACCCUCCGUCAAUGUUUACGAGUAACCAACCGUAGGCUCCACUUUACUCCCAUUCCUUCCACCCAACAUACCCCUACCGGGCCCGAACUCCAUACAGUACAAAUUUGGUAAUAUUCGAGUAUACCGGAAUCAAGAGUCUCACUACUACAAGAUUUCAUAUAACAGUCCCCAUGGCUCGUCAACUUUCACGACCAAACCCUCGCUGGCUCGAUUCAAUCGACUACCAAUGGGGUUGAGCUCAGUAGUAACAGUAAAAGCCAUUGGAUCCUCAUCCAAACGACACCAAAUCCAGUUUUUCAUGUACAUUUCAAGUACCACAGUGAAACAGUAGACAGUCGUGUAUAAUACAAAAGGGGGUGAGAGAGAUCAAGUACACCCUCACUUUAAUCAGUUUCAACAGUGCAAAUAAGCCUUCAAGGCAUCAAGUUCAAUAUAAUAAAGCCACAUUGUAAACAAACAAGUGAGUAGUAUGCUCACCAAGCAAGCAAGUGGAAUUUCGUAAACUUCCACCCAAAGAGCGUCUUUACUCACCGUCACGCCCUAAAAUAUUCAAAUAAGCACAAUAAGACUCGAUUACAAGUCAUAAACCAAUUCCACAUACUACCAAAAUAGGGCUCCAUAAGAAUGUAUAAGCACUAGAGUAAACCAGGGAAAUCCGGAAAUGGAAUUAAGCUCUAAACCAUAAAAACAGUUUUUGACAUCAUUUUGCGGUUUUGGCACCAUUGGCACUACGAUUAUCGGAUGGAGGUACAAUAUACACUGUUUUGAAGCUAAGAGGUAGGGCUACAAUGUUGAAGAAGGCUACUCAGUCCAUUUCAUAGUGCAACUAGGUCAAAAAUUCAAUAUACUAAACCAGAACCGCAAAAAUAGGUUAACAAACCGCAUUUUGGUUAACGAACCGUAAUUCAGGUUACCUAAGUCCAAAUCAAGUGAUUCCAAAGCCAUCCGAAAGCUAAGACACUAGGCUACAUUUCUUAAGAAGGCGUCAAUAACCAAAUCAGAAGUAUUCCCAACCAAAUUAACCAAUUACAGAAGCAUUUAUCAAGUUCGGGUAGAAACAGGGCAGCAGGGGUAUUUCAGUCUUUUUAUAAGCUACGCUACUCCGAUUGGCCUGAAAUUUUGCAAGCAUCUCUAAAAUAUCAUUCCCUACAACUUUUAUGUUUUAAUCCAAGGCUAAUUCGGCCUCUAACUAUGAUGAAUAGUACCGGGUAGAAAGGGGGUAAUCGAAACCCUAACUUCCGAAAUUUCCGUUCAAUGCGGAAAUUUUUCGCAAAUAACUACAAUUGACACACUAAGGUUUCAUUCCAAAUCAUUUCCAACCAUCAUACAUAACCACACAACAUUAAUCAUAUGAAAACAGAAAAAUCAUGAAUAAUUAUAAAACUUCACCAAAUUCAACCAAAAUCAUGAUAUAAUCCACCAAAUCACCCCUUAGGCUACCACAAGUCAUUAAUUAGACAUCAUUAGAUAGAGGAGAGGGGUUCCUUCACUACUCACCUUAGUAACCAAAGGAAAAGAGCAACUUGGCACCUUAAUCCUCCAAACAACUCCACUAAUCACCUCACAACCACUCACUUAAGGGUUUUUAUGGAGUAAAUGCAAGAUUAAAUGGUUGGUUUGUUGGAUUUGAGCAAGAUUGGAGCAAGAAUUUGGAGAGAUUUUCCCUUUCUUUUUGUUUGAAGUGGCCGGCCACAAGAAGCUUGGAAAUGAAGAGUUUUGGUCAAUUUUUGAGUUUAUUUAGUAAAAUGGUAAAAAGGUGAAUAGUAGUCAAAAUGCAAGAUUUAAUCAUAUGGUGACACUUGUCACCCUAUUUAAUGCAUGCAUAUCACUUUGUUUCCUCUCACACCAAUCCACUUGGUAAUCUCUAAUUAUCUCUUAGCACCCGAUAAUUUAAACCCGGUAUCCAAAACUUAACCUAGUUGGUCGAAUUUUUUCAAACUUUUCGCACUAGGGGGUCCCACGUCCAGUAUACGCUCUUAAUUUCUCAAAAAUUAACCGAUACUAGAAAAAUCUUCUAAAAACUAUAUUUACUCAUAAAAAUUAUUUAGAAAAUUUCUAAUAAAGAAAAUGCAUAAAAGGCGUGCAAAUAAUUAAAAUAAGGCUUAGAAAUAAGAAAAUUUACGGGUUCUCACAACAGGCACUGAAAAAUCCUCUUUAACCACACGUGCCAAACACCGGUGCGAUGUGCGGGCAUUCCCCCUAGUAUUAGUUAUAACGCGGUCUUGGAUAUUUGCAUUAAAAUUUAGUGCAAGGUUGAGACUUUCCGAGUGAAACUAAGAUACAUAUUGGAAUUUAAGGGGUGUAGAUGAUGGAUUUUGAAAAUUAGGGUUGGGACAAUACUCAUGGAUGCUAGUUAAAAUUUUCACACGAAUAAUCCAAUUAAUUUAUCGUGUAUGAUGAUCUUCGUGGAGCUAUUAAACUAUAAAGAGUACAUGUAUGAUGUGUCAAGAAUAUUAGUUAGCUAUUCUAAUGAAAUUCUUACCUAAUCCCCAGUGGAAAGUCCAUUGCAUUAAUCUAGCUGGGGACUUUUAAGAUUGAUCACACCAGCAAGAAAUUAACUUGCUAUUCUCCUAAGUUGAUAAAAUGCUGAAAGUGUCUAUUUAAUCAAAGUCAUAAGUUUUUGAGGGGAAAAAAAAUGGAUCAUGAAGUUUUUAUAAUUUCUCAAACCUCAAAAGAGGUGACUGCAAUCAUUACAAACUCUAGAAGAGGCUUUUGAAAUUAUGCCAAACAUUUAUAAGCCAAGCUUGGUUGUAUUCAUUUUCAUAUUCGUUACCUUUUAUGCAAUUUUAGGCUAAGAAAUUGUGUAAGGCACGUGACUAGCACAUGUAUUUUACUAUUAGGUAUCGAAAAAGUCAGAAAAAUAGAAAGUAAAGUACGAAUAGCACGAUAUGUGUGUGUGGCACAUGCUGCUUAUUAAAAGUAUUGCGAAGUAUAAAAAUACAAGAAAAGUAGAAAUUGCACAUUUUACAUGAUACUAGGUAAUCAAAUUGUUUAAUCAGCAUAACAAAUGUGCUUAUAGCUUUUAAACUUUGAAGUAUACAAAUAAAAUUUUCAUGAAUAUCAUUUAGUUGUUUUUAAAAAUAUCCUCAGCUAGUCUUGACUUAAAUGUUCAGUAAAUUGCCCAAAUUUAAUUAACAAGUUCAAUCAAAUGACCUAGAGACUUAUAAAGUUGAGCAUACCAUCACCAAAUACUAGAAAUGUCUGUGUAACUAAAAUCAUAAAUUCUUGAAGGGAAAAAAGUCUACUUGGAUUGAUUAGAUGGAAGAAAUCUGCAUGAUAUUGGUUGCUAAAUUACUCGAGGGUUGAAGAAUAGGCUGCAUGAUUAAUUCAGUAUGGACCAUGACCCAUAACGAUUGCUGUUACAAUUGUUUGUAACAAUUUAUGUAUACCAACUUUGAUGGAACGUUAUGCCCAUUAAACAAUAUUCAAAAUGGUAAACAAUUGUCUACGCAAAAUCUAGUUUUACUAAUAGGGAUAUUGACCAAAUGAUCUUGAAGUUUUUAAUGCUAUUCUCAAGACUUUCAUUUUUCUUUUUUCAUUGUAAGAUUUAGAGUUUCCGUUGACCAAACAAAAAAAUCAAUGAUAUGACACACGUGCAUGGUACGUGUUUUUUUUAUUACUAAGUGCGUUAAAUCCAAUGAGUGUAGAAUUGAUAAUUUUACAUGACACUAAGUAAUCUACUUGUUUAAUCAUGCAUGUAUAAUAAUCUUUGCACAACUUUUAAGCUUUGAAGCAUACAAAUAUUAUUUCCAUAAAUAUCAUUCAGCUUACUAUUAUUUCCAUAAGUCCUCAUCUGCUGACCUUCUCCCCAUUCCCUUCUCCAAACUCUCCACCCUAUUUAAGUCGCCAGUUCCCCAUUGGAAAUAUUAACUCUACCAUUUUCCUCCUCUUCGGAUCUCUUGAAUCACGUAUGCUCCUCCACUGUUGUUGUCUUCCUCCUUCUUAACUCAUUAUUUGCUGCCAAUAUCUCUCUCUUAUUCAUGUGGUUAGCUUGUUGUGAUUUUGUUUUUGCUUUUUGUUUCCUGUUUUUUUUAAAGAUUUUUGAGUGCCCUUGAUAAAAGUGAAGUAUAGGCUAGUCUAGAAAUGCAUACCAGGAAAGAAAAAAAAAAAGAAAUGUACACAAGAAUUGUAUGUACAAUAGGAUUUUGAAUUUUGGUAUUAUGAAUCAAACAUCAGAAAUUUGAAACGUUAGAAUGUGAUAAAAGCAAUUUUUUGAAAAAAAAAAAAACUUUGAAUUGGGGGUAUUUAAUAGAAACUUCUGAUUAUGAGAUGGAAUCCUUGUUUGCGUUUUGCACCUUUUUUUUUGGGUAAUUUUUCUGCAAUAGCUUGUCAAUCUAAGAAAAAAUAUAUAUCUUUUGAAAAUUGAAGCUUGUUUUACUCUUUUAUGCUUUUAUAUUGACAAUCCAAAAAUAGUUAUUGUUGUGUGGGAAAAAACUAGGAACUCUUGUUAGGAGGCGUGAUGUGGCCCAUAUCUACAGGGUCUAUAUAGGGGUCAUACACCGGAUUCACUCAAGUAUUUGCACUUUACACAUGGGUCAAUGCAAUAAGUGAUUUGUUAAGUUUACCCUUUAAAUAUGGAACAUGUGAUAGAUUCGUGACUCAUUUCGAUCAAAUUGACCUGAAAAGAUGUUGGAGGUCUAAAUACGAGCACAUUUUAUAUGGUACGAACUAAAAAAUCGCUCAUUUUCAUUUUGAGAGAUAAAAUUUCACAUCAACGAUAUGUAAGGGACGAUUGAUACAAUUUUCCCCUUAUGAUAUGUAAUUUUUUACUUGUUGCCAACUUAUACUCAUUUAUCAAACUUCAAACCCAAAACCACGUGCAAUCAAAGUGAGGCCCUAUUUGGCAAACUGAGUUUUUGCCAAGUUUGCCUCUUGCCAGUUUUUUAACAACUUUAAUUACAGUAAUUUCAAAAAAUUUCUCAAAAUUUUUAAACUACACAUUUCAAAAUACCCAAAACAUAAAAAAAAAUCCUUCCUCUUUCUUCUUCCACCUCAACCCACCACUACCUCCACCGCUAGCCAAGACCGGUUGGCACUAGCCACCUCUUUUUUUUUCCUUUCUCUUCUCUUUCCCUCCCUUCUUCUCUCCCCCUCUUCUCCUCUCUCCCCCGCCUCUAGUGAGAUAAUCAGCAGUGACAAACAAUAUCUCGUGGACAUCAAAGUUGGUUGUUAGGAAAGGCCAUUUGCAGGAAGUUGCCACAAACAACUUCGCACAGGGAAUCGAUGCCAAUUUUCUCAUUGUGCAUCUGGGCUUGGUUUACCUGGUACUCGUUAAUGGUGAUGCCGACGAUGUUGGCACCGAAAUAAGCGGUGAUGGCACGCAUCGGGCCACUGACCCUACAGCCAGCAUCAAGAAUGCAGGCACCCUUCUUGACACCCAAGAGAUCGACAGCCCUUUCCUCGUGGAUUCUGGUGGCGUCCCGAUAGGACUUGUCGGGGAUGAAGGGAGAGAAAUGGAAGGAUUGACCCCAAACCCACUCGUAAAUGUCAGUGAUGAGGUUGUAGAAGGUGUCAACGAAAGCAGGGACUUUCUCGGCGGUCUUGAACUCCUUGGGGCGGCCAAAGAAGGACCAGUACUAUUUGUACUUGUCUUGGACUUUCUCUUUAUCGAUACAGCUGUCGGAGAGUUGGACGGUGUGCUUCCCUUUCUAUUCUGCAGAAAGGGAGAGGGAGAGGGAGAGGGGGAGAGAAAGAAAAAAGCAAAAAAAAAAUUUGUUUCUGCUAUAGCUUGUUUUGGCGGGGGAAGGGUGAGGUCGUAGGGCAGGGGGAAGGGAGAAGAAGAAGAGAGGAAAGAAAAGAAAAAAGAAAGAAAGAAAAAGAAAAAAAAGUUUUCUAUAUUAAAAAAUUUUCUACAAUUUCUACAGUAAGUUACAUUAAAAUUUUAGACAAAUACCCAAAAAAUUCAUUUGCCAAACAGAGGCUAAAUUCUUUCAUGUUUUAGUCCCAUAAUCCCAUUAAAGUCUUCCGUAAUCCCAUUAGAGUCUCCAAUGCAUAUGAUUCUCAUUACAGAAGGGUUCUAAAGAUUAACAAUUUGACCCAAAAAAAAUAUCCAUCUUUUCAUUGAGCCAAAGAAAGUUAAUGCACGAAUCAAGCACAACAGACAUGCAAAAUAUUUAGGGCUUUUAAUUUUAAUUUUUCCAUACUUAUUUUUUUCGACAUCAAAAAACAUGUUUUAGAGAAUCAAUCUAGGUUGUUUUCUAGCUAGAACUGCACCAAUCAAGAUGGACACGGGUACAGGAUGGAGGUACAAUAAAAGUGCACCAUGUUCAUGAACAACAUUGUGGGAUAUUCUAGAUUAUUAGCUUUGGAGCUAUCUUGGUUAUUUACGCCAAAAUUUAGUGCAAGAUUGAGACUUUUGUAAUGAAACUGAGAUUCUCACUGGAAUUUGAAAAACAGUGAAUUAGAGGUGGAUUGACUGUUCAAACAAAGAUGUAAGGGCAAAUGACUUUGCAAUUAGAAGUGUUGUAGUUGAAGAAGGUAAGCAGGAAUAAAUGAUGGAUUUUGAAGAUUCACACAAAUAAUCCAAUUAUUUUAUCGUGUAUAGUGAUCUUCGUGGAGCUAUUAAACUAUCAAGAGUACAUGUGUGAUGUUUCAAGAAUAUUAGUUAACUGUUCUAAUGAAAUGCUUACCUAAUCCCCAGUUGAAAGUCCAUUGCAGAAACCUAGCUGGGGACUUCUAAGAUUGAUCACACCAGCAAGAAAUUAACUUGCUAUUCUCCUAAGUUGAUGAAAUGCUGAAAGCUUCUAUUCAAUCAAAGUCAUAAGUUUUUUAGGGGAAAAAAAAAGUAUCAUAAGGUUUCUGUAAUUUUUCAAACCUUAACAGAGGUGAUUGCAAUCAUUACAAACUUUAGGAGAGACUUAUGAAAUUAUGCCAAACUUUCAUAAGCCAAGCUUGGUUUGUAUUCAUAUACGCCACCUUUUAUGCAAUUUUAGGCCAAGAAAUAGUGUAAGGCAUGUGACUAGCACAUGUAUUUUACUAUUAAGUAUAGAAAAAGUCAGAAAAAUAGAAAGCAAAGUAUGGAUAGUACGAUAGGUGUGCGUGGUACGUGCUGCUUAUUAGAAAGUAUUAUGAAGUAUAAAAAUGCAAAGAAAAUAAAAAUUGCACAUUUUACAUGAUGCUAGGUAAUCAAAUUGUUUAAUCAUGCAUAACAAAUGUGCUUAUAGCUUUUAAACUUUGAAGUAUACAAAUUAAUAUUUCCAUGUAUAUCAUUUAGUUGUUUUUAACAAAAUCCUCAGCUAGUCCCUUCUCUAGUUCGACCAACCUUCUCCACAACUCCCCAACCUAUUUAAGUCGCCAGUUUCCCAUUGGAAAUUAACUCCUCUUCGAAUCUCCUCAAUCGCUUCUCUUCUCCUCCUCCACUGUUGUUGCCUUCCUCCUUCUUUGCUCAUCAUUUGCUGCCAAUAUCUCUCUUUUAUUCAUGUGGUCAGCUUGUUGUGAUUUUGUUUUUUGUUUCUUUUUUGUUUUUAAGAUUUUUGAGUGCCCUUGAUAAAAGUGAAGUACAAACUAUUCUAGAAAUGUACACCAGGGGAAAAACAAAGAGAAAUGUACACAAGAAUUGUAUGUACAAUAGGAUUUUGAAUUUUGGUAUUUUGAAUCAAACACUAGAAUUUUGAAAGGUUAGAAUGUAAUAAAAGCAAUUUAAAAAAAAGUAAAAAAAAAACUUUGAAUUGGGGCUAUUUAAUAUAAACUUCUGAUUAUGAGAUGGAAUCCUUGUUUGCGUUUCGCACGAUAUUUUUUUGGGUAAUUUUGCUGCAAUAGUUUGUCAAUCCUAGAAAAAAAUCUAUCUUUUGGAAAAUUGAAGCUUGUUUUAUACUUUUACGUUUUGUUAUUGACAGUCCAAAAAUAGUUAUUAUUUGUCGGAAAAAACUAUUAACUCUUGUUAGGAGGAGUGAUGUGGCCCCAUAAAUAUUACAGGGUCUAUAUAAGGGUAAUAGAUUGGAUUCACUCAAGUAUUUGCACUUUGCAUAUGGGUCAAUGUAAUAAGUGAUUUGUCAAAUUUACCUUUUAAAUAUGGAGCAUAUGAUGAUGAAUUCACUCAAAUAUUUGCACUUUGCAUAUGGGUCAAUGCAAUAAAUGAUUUAUCAAGUUCACCCUUUAAAUUAGAGUUUCCAAUGCAUAUGAUUCUCAUUACAGAAGGGUUCUAAAGAUUAAUAAUAUUACCUAGAAAAAAAAUGUCCAUCUUUCCAUUGAGCCAAAGAAAGUUAUUGCACGAAUCAAGCAUGACGAACAUGGAAAAUAUUCAGGGCUUUUAAUUUUAAUUUUUCCAUACUUAUUUGUUUUCGACAUCAAAAAAACAUGUUUUAGAGAAUCAAUCUAGGUUGUUUUCUAGCUAGAACUGCACUAAUUAAGAUGGACACGGGUAUAGGAUGGUGUAAGUGCCCGGUGCAACCCAAUGAGUACAAACAAAUUCACAAUGAUGCACAAAGAUAUAUCAAAUUUAAGCACAAUAAAGAAAACUUAAUUAAAGAGAAAGGAUAAGAAAUGCAAACCAAAUAUCAAACCAAUAGCCUCUUCAAUUGAUGGCGAUGCUAACCAAGAUGUACAAGUGAAGGCUCACUCCUUCCUCACCCCAAACACUCUUUGGUUGAGCCAAGGAGUUUUACAACAAUACUAGUUAACCCUCAACAACCUACACUUGAAAGAUCACUCACCCAAUUAAGGACUAUUUUAUACAAAUGAGGCAACCUUCACCAAGGUUUUACCACUCCAAGUGAUAGGUUCACCUUCACCAAGGUUUUACUCCUCCUAGAGAAUAACCUUCACUUGAGCAACCUCACAACCCAACUUCCCCAACCCCUUAUACAACCAACAAAGAAUCUUUCUACUCAAAAAUCUCACUUGUAAGCUUGUAUAUUGUGUUGGCAAAAGUCUCUUGUCUUCUUGUGCUUUGGGGUAUUUAUAGAAGGUGAGAAAUGGCUUCAAAAGGCUCUCUAACGGUCAAAUAUUAAAUACUGUCAAAACUAGCCGUUGGCCUGUCGGACGUCCGAACCACCUGUCGGACGUCCGAACCCUGCGCCCAAACCACCUGUCGGACGUCCGAACCCUGCGUCCGAACGUCGUCAGAGAGUCAUCAAAUCUUCGCGAAAUUUCUCGAACGUCCGAUGCGAUCGAUGUGCGUCCGACAGAGUUUCCUUCUUGAUGUUCUUCAUCCUUUCGGACGUCCGAUAGCGUCCGACAUGAGUGCCCUGUUUUUGCUUCUUCUUUUAUGCCACAAGAAUCUGUUCUAACAAAUUACUCACCUAAAAACAUUAGCCCAAAUCUACAUAUUGGUUUGUUAAUCAUCAAAACCAAGGAUUGAUCGACCAAGGUCAACAGAUGGAGGUACAAUAAAAGUGCAUCAUGUUCAUGAACAACAUAGUGGGAUAUUCUAGAUUAUUAGCUUUGGAGCUAUCUUGGUUAUUUACACCAAAAUUUAGUCCAAGAUUGAGACUUCCUGAAUGAAACUGAGAUUCUCAUUGGAAUUUAAAAUGCAGUGAAUUAGAGGUGGAUUGGCUGUUCAAACUGAGAUGUUAGGGCCAAUGACUUUGCAACUAGAAGUGUUGUAGCAGAAGAAGGUAAAAGAGGCAUAAAUGAUGGAUUUUGAAAAUUAGGGUUGGGACGGUACUCAUGGUUACUAGUCAAAAUUUUCACACAAAUAAUCCAAUUAUUUUAUCGUGUAUAAUGAUCUUCGUGGAGCUUUUAAACUAUGAAGAGUACAUGUAUGAUGAUGUUUCAAGAAUAUUAGUUAACUAUUCUAAUGAAAUUCUUACCUAAUUCCCAGUCGAAAGUCCAUUGCACAAACCUAUAUCUAGGGACUUCCAAGAUUGAUCACACCAGCAAGAAAUUAACUUGCUAUUCUCCUAAGUUGAUGAAAUGCUGAUAGUGUCUAUUUAAUCGAAGGCAUAAGUUUUUUGAGGGGAAAAAUUGGAUCAUGAGUUGGCAUUAGCUGAAUUAACAUGCAACAAAAUUCUUCACAUGUUGCCCAAAACAUAAAACCCUCCUGCUCAGGGUUGAUAACCCCUGGAAGAGGAAAUUGAGAACAAUUUUGUGUUACAUUGCUAGAUCUGGAUUUGCUCCAGUGGAAAUUUGAUCUUGAUCGUCAUGAAUGGCUUCCAUUUUUACAUCUACAUCAUCUUCAAAGAAGAAGCAAGAUCUUUCUUGAUUUGGUACUGAAACCCCACAUCACUACAAGAAAAUUAUUCAUCAGUGACAACACAAAGUCAUCACAGAACAUACAAAUAUCGUCACAAAUACCUUUUAUUGACGAUUUUUUGAUCGUCACAAAGUCGUCACUAAAUCCCCGUCGGUAAAAGUAAACAGUGAUGACCUAAAAUAUCGUCACUAAAUAGUUCUCAUUAGUGAUGACUUUAAGUAGAGUAUUUUUGACAAAAGAUCAAGUCGUCAAUAAAACACUUCUAGAUUGUCGUCACUAAUGACAACUAUUUAGUGACGACCUGAAAUGUCGUCACUAAAUAGUUGUCAUUAGUGACAACAAUCCGGAAGUGUUUUAUUGACGAAUUGACCUUUUGUAAAAAAUGCUCUACUUAAGGUCGUCACUAAAAAGCACCGAAAGCCAUUGUAUAUAGCUAUUUUACUGACAACAAUUGUCAUCACAAAUGUAGCUUAGAUUUAGUGACAGUCUCUGUUGUGACAAGGAGUUUUUAUUUUCUAUUUUGUGACAACUUUUUUUUGUCAUUAGACAAUUUCUCAAUAGCUUAAUAGUCAUAAUUUGGCCUGUAAUCAUUGCUAAAUCAUUGAUUUUAAACAAAUCAUACAAAUAAACAUGAACGAUUGAUAACCAAAAGUAUUUGUAUUAGAUUACAUGGUAAUAAUAUAGCAUUCUCAAAUGCCAAAUUCAAGUGUACAUUACCCAACUAAUGCCUACAAAAAUAACAUUUGUCCAAAAUAUCACUUGUACAUAAGGUACAUUUACCAAAGCAAUCACAGUUUAAGAAAUUGAAGAACAUCUAAAUGAACCACUCCAUGAGCAAAAGGCAAUUUUGUCUUCAACAUUCUUCAACCAUAACCAUAGAUAUCUUCCAAAAGCUAGUAUGAAUAGCAUUUAUCUGUCAUAAAAGAGUAAAAGAAGUAGGUAAGGGGAGGAGUACAAUAAUAAAGAACAAGUAAUGAGACUUAGAUUAUUAAGACAAAAAUUACAAUUCAUUAAGAAUCUCUCCACAUCCUAGCCAGGAAGCCAAAUGUAUUUGAGAGCAGCAGCAAUCUUCGACUCUGUGAUCGAAUGCUCUAUCGCUGUAAGAAUGUCUAUCGGGAAGAUUUUAGAAAUUUAAACAUCUCUUCAGCUAAAGCAUCUAUGAUCUUUUUUUUUUUUUUUUGGUAGGAGGCUGUUUGCCUAUGUACGUUGCUUCUAACAUGCUGCCUUUAUCUUUCCUCUAGACCAUUGCAUUAUCUGACUUUGCCAAAAUCUCAAAAUUUAACUAUAGCUUAAUCUUUUCCUUCCUAUUCUUUUCUUCAGCUAUCAUUUUAAAAAGAUUUUCCGGGUAUUAUUUUCCAGUUUCUCCAAUAUAUGAUCUUCAAAGGUCCCGAAACAUUUAUCAUUUUGAGAUAUCAUCAAAUCUUUCUUGUAAUUUCACGCAGAGUUGGUGAUUUUAAACCACUUUUCUAGAGGAAGAAUAUUUUACUUAUACGGUUGAAUGUAUGGUUUAUCAGUCAUCUUUCCUUUGUUCAUCUAAAUAUCUCCUCAAUUUGACUUUCACCGAAGUGCAACUGUAUUUGUUUGCAAGGUGUAUAUGUCCCUGAGGUUAAGAACCGUCAAUCCAGAAGAGGAGACCGGAGAAAUUUAGAGGAGACCGGAGAGCACUAUCCCAAAAACUACCAGACGUGUGUGAACUUCAUUCGUCUAAUUUCGACUGCAUUCUGGCUAAUUGGUAGGUUUGAUAACCAAAUCUCACACUCUACGUUGACUUCUGGCCACUUCUAAAUAGACAAAUACUUAUUUCCAGCUCCUCUUGGAAAAGGUCAAGGUCCAGGUACAGAAGAUCCAGAAGAGGGAAAAAUGGAAGGUCAAGGUCUCUACUAUGCCUUUAGUUAAUUCCUGCAGUUUUCAAAUUGUUUUGGUAAAUGAAAGAAUCUAGACUUCAUCAAAUGCAGAACAUCGAGAAAAGUAACACUUAAAAAUUUUGAAUCAUGGAAGAAAAUAGCACAGUAUAACAACAAAAGUUAACAGAAAACCAGUGCAAGCUCAUUACUCGUGGUAUUAAUUAUCUGGAAAACCAGUGCCAGACAAGUGUGAACCUCAUUCAUCUACCUUGGGCUGCAUUCCGGAUAAUUGGUAAGUUUGAUGGCCACAUCUUACGCUCUAAUGCAACUUCUAUCCACUUCUAAAUGGAGCAAUACUUGUUUCCAACUUCUCUUGGAAAAGAUUCUGAUUCGAGAGAAAAACCAGCAAGCACAGUAGACACAGAAAAUCCAAGAGAGAAAGGAAGAAUCUAGACUUAUUUCUGAAGUUUUUAAAAUGUUUGAACUUUUCUUCGAGCAAAAUUGUUUGAACUUGUUUUUGGUAAAAGAAUCUAGACUUCAUCAAAUAGAUUUUGAAUUGGAAGAAAAUAGCAUGGUAUAAAAACAAAGCCUUACAGAAUUUGAUUUGGAAGAAAAUAGCACAGUAUCAAAACAAAACCUUACAGAAUUCCAUUACUAUAUCACUACCCGUGGUAUUAAUUAUCCGGAUAACUAACUACCAGACAAGUGGAAAAUUCCUUCAUCUAGCUUGGACUGUAAUCAGGAUAAUAGGUACGUUUGAUAACCACAUCUCACACUCUACUUUAACUUCUGACAACUUCUUAAUGGAGCAAUACUUGUUUCCAGCUUCUCGUGGAGAAGAUUCUGAUUCCAGACAACCAGGCAGUACAGAAGACAGAGAAAUUCCAAUAGAGGGAAAUCAAGGUCUCUACUACGCCUUUACUGAUUUCCUGCAGUUUUGGAAUUGGUUGAACUUGCUUUUGGUUAACAAAUCUAAACUUUACGACAUGCAGAACAUGGAGGGAAAUAAAUUUUGAAUAAUGGAAGAAAUAAGUACAGGAUAACAACAAAAAGUAACAGAAAACCAUUACAACCUCGUAGCAUCAGUAGCCUAAUGGUUGACAAUUCACAGUGAUACACGGCAUAGGGAAUAUUUUCUGAGGCACAACUUCUGCAUGCCUUGUUCUAUGCAAUGCGAUCAGCUAGCCGAUUUCUGCACAAAAAUAUCAUGCUAAGAACUUCUAAAUUACUAAGAUGCUAGAUGCAUACCACAGUAACAGUAAUCACGGAGUUCAACACCCUUAUGAGUUGCUUGUCUAAUAUAUUUUACCUCUGUUAUGCUUAACUACUGAAGGAUCUGCAUCAGUGCAUCUGGUACUUACUUUCAAAAAGGAAAACAUUAUGUACUCAUUUGUGGCCACUAGGGUAUCUACAGAAGGGUGCGAACUGUGAAGAUGGUAUAGACUGGUUUGCUCUGUCAGCCUUGUGUCCUCUCCAAUUGUUUAAAUUCAUUGCAGCUCAACUUACAGGAUGCAUUAUCUUCUGGAGAGCCAUUAAAUAAAAUAAAACUUUUGCAAUUUAGCCACUAUAUAUCAAAUGAAACUAUUAACAUGUGAAUUGGUCACAUACUCUCGUGUUUAAAAUUAUUUUGAAAAAAUAGAGGUGUAAUUAUGUAAAGAGGGAAGAUAUAUCACAAUACCAAAGAGAUUCAUUGAAACAAAAAUAUACUGUAGAGAAUUGUUAUAACAGCUAAUGCUUCUACAAAGGAGUCCUUGUACUUUCAGGGAUGCUGUGUUGCUGCAACCUAAGGGUUUAUUUUGCCAUUUUGAUUUAAAAUCAUUCUAAAACAUUAAGCUAGCAAAAGGGGAGUCUGGUAUUUAUGCCCAUAUGAAUUGACAUAAUUCUUUUAACUUCAGAAUCAAGGGCUAAUGUUUUUCUUUUGCUUUUCACGUCUCCUAGAUGACCCAGUUCUCCUUGAAUCUUUGUCUCAGGUUGACAUGAUUUUAAACAAGUUCACUUUUUUCUUCAUGAAUUACUCAUUUCAUCUGAGCCACUUGCCUGAAAGAUAUCAGGGAUCUCAAGAACUCAUCCAUCUUUACACAGGAGGUACCAGCCCUCUUUGAUUUUAAUACUCAAAAGCAUAAUUUCUGUGGAAGUAUUGAACAAUAUGACCUUCACAUUUAAUACUCAAAAGCUAAUGGAAGUUCCCAACAAACAUGUAUAAAUAUAGCUUCUCAAGAAAGGAGGUCUCCAAAUAGGCAGCAUCUGCUUACAACUAGAUAAUUGUCGCGCAAGAUUUAACAAUCUUAUGCUUGUUAAAUGAUACAAAUGCUAUACAACACACUAAAUGAUGUGCUAUGUCGUAAUUUUAGCUCCCUGCUACUCUUGAACAGUUUUUGUUCUUAUCAAGGCUAUGCAUAGUUUAUAUGGAAGAUACACCACAACCACAUUUUACCAUCCCAUUGUAACAAGCAAACCAAGUACAAAAAUUGCUCUAGAAUUUUCUCUUGCCACAAGCAAUAGGAUAACACACUGCUUUUUACCAUCUCAAACAUCAGUUAUUUGCAGAAUAAACACAGUGAACAAGUUGAUUGGCACAAACAGCUCAUAUCAUCUAGAUAACGAGUAUCAACUUAGAAUAGUUUUUAAUGAAGGUAACACUUCUCCUACCAACCAGACAUCACAGAUAAAGUAGAUCUUUGUGUGGCUCAAUUUAGUGACAGCUAAAGUUAUAAAACUCACAAGAUCAUGUAGUUAACAUCAUAUGCUUUAUAAGAUUAGACAUCAAUAGUAACAUUAGGUAUCAAUCAGCUAGAAGUCUGAACAUUGACCCCACCAAUAAUAAGACCCUUGCAUAGGAAAAUCAACUCGAAACUUCUUUAGCAUAACCCAAACCACCCCUGCAGCAUAUGCAGUAAAAUAGUCAUGCUCAUCAAUUGUCUUCAAAACACUAUAGGAUUAUUAGUUUUUAUGAGCAUUUCUUAAAAAAACUAAUUGGAAUACAUGAACCUUUUUGUUUCGGCUCCAUUUUGGUAGUGAAUGUGAAGAUUAAUACCUAAUGGACAAAUAUUUACCAUACAUGGUCAUCCCUAUGUCCCACAGUUGCCAAUGCUAUGCAGAAUCAGUUUCCCCAUCAUACAAGUCACACAUAAGCAUGUCCAAAUGCUUUUCCAACUUUAGAUAUUAAGUAGGGAAAGAAAGCAUGUACAAAGGGAGAAAUCACCAUCACGCUGCUCUGCUAAGAUAAAAAUAUAUAAUGUUUUAUGGUAACCAAAAUUCUUGAGGAUAAUAACAUGCUUCAAUCAACACAGAUGCCCAUGCCAAUAAUGAGUAUGCUUCAUACAUACCCUUGGACCACAUUACAAAGCUUCAGUCAAACUGAAACUAAGAAAACUUGGUAGUCAUAAGGAACAUUAUCACUCAAAAUCUCAUCCAAUACUCAAAGUUCAUUCAAAAUUCAGAAUUGGGCAGGCUCCUAAGGAACAUUAGUUACACUAUAGAAAGUAUAUUUUAAGGAAAAUAUGAGGAAAAAGAACAAAGUGGAUAUAUCUAUUUCAUGUACCAGAUUGUGAUAAAAAGAAACAACUCACUUUAACCGCUCAUUCAAAGCAAUUGCAUUUAACACAAGGAAAUGCUCACAAACACAUCAUUCAAUAGUCAGAUACAUUAUGGAACUUCUUUUACAUCCUUAUCUUCUGAAUUAACAAAACUCAACAAAGUUAUAAUCUAAUGCCUUCCAAAUUCCACAACAGAAAAGCAAAAAUCCAAAAGCAACAGAAAUUGGAAAAUAAUCAACAACUGAAAGUGGAUACUGUAAUAAUUUUUAAAACAAUUAGCACAGAGCAUUAUGCAGACUCCUUCAACGGUCAACAUUCAAAUACCACAACGUACAUCGCUUUAUUAUUCUCGUCUAUGAUUUUGAACAAUUCCCUCUUUUCCCCUACCUAUUCCUACCUUUGAGUCUUUGACCUCAAUAAUUUGGCAAACAAAAGAUAAAGCCAAAUAAACUCGAAUAGACAGCUUCUCAAACCUGAUCGAUGCACCAAUCAAGCGGACUCCUCUUCGAAAUAAUGGACAUCCAACUCAACGACCAAUCACGCUUGCAGAAAUGAACUUGAAACAAAUCAGCCACAGGUUAGAUGAAUCGAGUCGAGCGGGGGGAGUUCCAAGUACAACAUAGCUAUGAUAGCAUCUAAUAAUCAAGAGCUGCUAAAAGAUUUUGGGCAGAAACUUGCAAAAAAUAUUGUAGAAUAUUAGGGAUUUGGAAAAAUUGGGGAAAAUGUAUAGGAGAGAGAAAAAUGAACCUUUCCAAUGAAAACCUUGCCCUUUAAUGCUGGACAGCCAUGGUGAUGCUAGUGAGAAGCCAGAGAACGGAUUUGUUGUGUGGGUAAAAGUAUCAGGUGCCGUGCGGAAGCUCUGUUUUGUGCUCAGUGCAGAAGCUUGUUUGUUUCAGCUCAGUGAAAGUUUGUGUUGCUCAAGUGUUCCGUUGCUUUAACUCAGACCAAGUGUUCCGUUGCUUUUGUUUUCAGAAUGUGUUCCGCUGCUUUGGUCUUUGCUUUGCUUUGGAUAUUGUUUUUGUUGCGCGGCACUUUCACUAUGAUUUGAUCAAAAUUUUGACUUCACUCAUUUUCCCUCCAUUUGAUACCAAAAAUCAUGUUUUUUUCUGGAUUUGUAAUAUGGUUUGAACCAUAGAUUUUAGUGCUAUAGUAUUAUUCUUUAUUUUUUAGCAACAAAUAAAAAUUUUCAUCAACAUAUGUGGCAAAAUUUGUUAAUUUCAUAUAAUUGAAAAUGUACUUUUAUAAUUUGCUAAUAUUUUAUACUAAUUUCUUAUAAUUGCAGCACUAAAGAACAUCAUGUAAUUGAAAAUAAUUAAACUCAAAUUAUAUGGUUAUAACAUAGUUUCAAUAAAAAUAAUCAUUUUCCCAACAUUUGAGAUCAAUCAUCAUGCUUUUUUUUUAUUUUUAAUUUGGUUUGAAGCAUAGAUUUUAUUGCUAUAGUAUUAUUCUUUAUUUUUUAGUACAAAAACACAAAUUUUCAUCAAUAUAGGUGGCAAAAUUUGUUAAUUACAUAUAAGUGAAAAUAUACUUUUAUAAUUUACAAAUAUUUUAGCCCUGCAAUUUUUUAUAAUUGCAGCACUAAAGUACAUCAUUAAUUGAAAAUAACGAAAGUCAAAUUCUAUGGUUAUAACAGACUUUCAUUAAAAAUAAUCAAAUGCUAUUAAUAAGACAUUAUUGUUAAGUCAAAAUCAAAGAAAAUUUAGUGAUGACAUAAUGUUAUCACUAAUUUAUUCAAGAUUAUAAUGACAAGAAAAGUCGUCACUAAUUAAAUUGCUAGUUUUUAAUACUUUUGUGAAAAUAUUGAUAAUGGUUGAGAAAAUUUUGUUACAUUACUGCAAGUGAUAAAUGUACUUUUGUUCUUUUUCAAACAUUUAUUUUAAUGUUUAAUUUUGUUUAAAACUAUUGUACUAGUAUAGAUUUGCAAGACAAAACUUAAGUUCUCAAUAGUUAAAAAAUUCAUUACAGAGAAAACACAAAGUAGUAGUUGCAAAAUGUGUAUAAAUUACAGAUAUUUUAAUGUGUAUAAAUUACAGUUUAUUUUAAUGUUUAAUUUUGUUUGAAACUAUUUUACUAGUAUAGAUUUGCAAGACAUAGAUUUAUGGGUAAUUUCUUUUUUUUUUUUGCUUACACAUAUUUAAUUUAUGUUAAAUACAAAACCUACCAGUUUCCCUUUCAUAAAAAUAUUAGUGCAAUACUUUUUGAAUUUUACUUACAAACAUUUAUGUAUUUAAUAUAAAUUAAAUGAUUCAAAGUGAAAUGCCUAUAAAGAGCAGAAUAUUUGUUCAUGUAAUGGAGGAAAUCCACAAAGAGUUGGUACUUUAUGGGCCAUUUCUUUUUUUAAAAAAAUUUAAUUUAUGUUGAAAAGAUAACCUGCCAGUUUUCGUUUUGUAAGAAAUCAGUGUAACACUUUUUGAAUUUUACUUACAAACAUUUAUAAAUUUAUCAUAAAUUAUAUGUUUGAGAGUAAAAUGCCCAUAAAAAGUUGGUACUUUGAAUAGAUAAUGCUCAUUUGCCCAUAAACUACACUCCUUGAAGGCUAUUUUGUUAAUUACUUUGUAGUACUUUGUUAUUCCUUUGCUAAUACUACUUGGCAUGUAGUACAAAGGAUAAAUCUGGCAUAAAUUCUUAUUCCAUUGAUAAAAAACCUGCCUGCCUUAUAACUAUUGUAAUGAAAGAUAUAUCUUUAGAGUUUAUAACAAAUUAUUACUUAAGUUUGAGAAAAUUAUAAAAUAUUUAUGCAUAGUUUAUCAAGAUACCAUUCGUAAUUUUCUAAUAAAAAAAUAGGGGCUAAAUUGUAAAAGCUAGGGUGCCAUAAUAAAAAUAAUAAAAUUGGUGUAUUACAUAUGGGGGUUAAAUUGUAAAAGUUAGAGUGCCAUAGUAGAAUUAACGAAAUUGGUGAAUUACAUAUGGGGCUAAAUUACAAAAGUUAGGGAGUAAUAAUAGAAUUAAAGAAAUCGGUGUACUACAUAUGGGGCUAAAUUGUAAAAGUUAAGGUAUCAUAAUGGAAUUAAUGGAAUUUUUUACAACAUUUGGGGUUAAAUCGCAAAAGUUAGGGUGGUACAGUAGAAUUAAUGAAAGUGACUUAGAAAUAAGUACUUUAAACAGUGACGAUUAAUUCUUGUCACUAAAUCCGAAUCGGUAGAGUGACAGUGACGAUAUUAGAAGUUGUCACUAUAUAGAUCAUUUUAGUGACAACUUUUUCAAGGUCGUCACUGAAGACUUAGUUACUUUGAGCAAUUAUGACAACUCUCCUUGUCGUCACUAAACAACCACGUUUUGUGACGACUUUUGUCGUCACUAAACAAUGUUGUCACUAAUGACCAUAUUUCUUGCAGUGUAGUUUGUGACGAAAAUAACGGGUCGUCACUAAACAUUUAGUUGCUUUGAUGCAAUUGUGGCAACUUUAGGUGUCGCGACUAAAGAAGCUCCUUUUGUGACGACUUAUUGUCAUCACUACAAAAUGUUGUCACUAAUAACAUUUUUUUUAGUGAUCAGUGACGACAACAAAAAGUCGUCCGUAAAUAGGCCAAGCAAUAGUGAUGAUGUUCUUAAUGACGUCACUAUUGUGUGUUCUAAACACUCCCGCGCUCUUGCUAAAUCUUGGCGGGAAUUUACUAGUGACGACUUUUCUAAGUCGUCACAAAUGAGUUGGCUCCCAUUAGAGGUUUGUGACGAGUUAGAAAGUCGUCAAUAAAGGAUCCACUUUUGUGACAACUUUUUUUCGUCACAGAGAAAAGUUGUCACUGAUGACCAAUUUUCUUGUAGUGCAUGUAAUCCUAACUAAGAAGAAAUUCAUUGUUCAGACCUUAAGACACUUGUAAGUACCAACCUCCAGCUGACCCUGAGACUACCAUGGGGUGAAGGCCAGAAAUUUAUUCAUUCAAGAACAGAAAAGUGAAGAAAACAAGAGAGAAAAGAGGCCACUAACUAGUCACAAUAGCUUCUGCAGGGUGGUAGAUGAGGCUUAAUCUAUAUACAGUAACCACCAGUAAGCGUAAUAUGGAAAAACAGAAAAAGAAAGAAAAUUAAUUUGAGUAAGGAACUCAUAACAAGAGAAAACGGUGCUAUUCACAAAUAUGUGGACAAUUGAUGUCAUAUACUGUUCAGUAUUCUACUGAUUAACAAGUUACAGAUGUUAAAUGGAGAAGUAAUUCAAGAAAUAGUGAAACCACAGAUUGGCAAAUUAAGCAAUUAUUGACAGCUUUCAUAUAUAUACACAUAUAUAUAUGUGUGUGUGUGUACUGAAUCAACUCAUCUAGCUUCGUAGAAAACGAGACUCCCAACAAAAACAGGAUCUACAUGUCUGACCAAAGUAUCAAGGUUUCGAUGCUCUACAACGUUUCCCUUGCGAUCCCAAGUUGCCAAGAUAUCGCCUUCCAUCUGCACCACAAGUUUUUCAGUCUUUGUAAAUCCAAAUGCCUUCACCACUAAUUUGUCUGUAAAAAUUUUUGAUUUAGUCCAGGAAUCAGCCCCCUUUAUACUCCCUCAUCACCCCUAACUCGUAGCAUUUAAGUCUCCCAACCCCUCUAUCGCUAAAGUCGCCCAUCCUAAAAAGGGCAAGCAACCCCUUGAACACCAACAAGCUCCCAUCCUAGAAAGAGUUGCAGCUAACAGGCAACUCAAUCUCAGAAAACUCCCUCACGAGAGAUAUCAAAGCACAUGAUUGCAUCUACAAUCGAUUCAUUCGUCCUGCGAGCCAGCCAAAAAAUUGAUCCAUUGCAACAAACUGACCUUUGAUCGACUAUACACUUCACAUUCGCACUAAUCUUUCUCCAAUCGUCAGUAUUGACGCUAUUAACCUCCACUUCGGGUGCCACAUCCCCAACAUCCUCAAAUUCGCGUCUUUGAUGUAAUUAAUCCUCACAACCUUAAAGUUAUUAGUCAACUCAGAAAACCCAAAUCCCAGUUUUGAAUAGGCUCUCCGAAGAUCAUAUAUGGUAUCAGGAAAGCAAGAAACAGCUACGAACUUGAGUUUCCUGAUGGAUGGAUUGUACAAACAAAUCUUCCUCCCAGUAUAAGUCUUCUGAUCAGUGAAACAGAUUAUUCCAUUGCAAGAAUUCGCAAUAGAUAAAAGUUUAAGAAAAUUGGAAACUGUUGGAAUAUCAAAUUUUCCAUGCUGAACGAAUGUGCUAUCGCAAUAUAUGUUGGAAACUUUUCAAAAUUUGUAUGAUGUACGUACAUGUAAUUAAUGUAUAUUCAUAUUUUUUGGUACAUGUAUAGUAUUGUGAAUGUUUCUAUUAUGUACAUUCAUUUAUGAAUGUGUUCAUGUAUAUGGAAAUCCUUGAAUGAAAGGAUAGAUUCAUGUUUUGAUCUUAAAAUCAUGAGAUGCAUGAAUUAAAGUGCAUGAAUUUGUACACAAUACUUUGAAUCUAUUCAUACAGGUAUUUAAUGAGUUCUUUUGUUUCUCAAACAAUCUUCCUAUAUAAAGAGGUCAAGUAGAGAGUGAUUUGCUGCAGAAAAUCACUUUCCUACUAUUGUAUACUCUCUCGAAAGCACUCCUUAGUUCACAAAGGGUUUGUCUUGCUUUGUGCAAGAGUUUAAGACAAACAAAUUUCAUCUUAUCCUAAAAGAUAUUUGUUCAAGGUUAGUGCACGUUAUACCAGACAAAUAAAGCCUAAAGAAAAGUGAUGUCUAUCACGAUUUGAAGCCAAUUCUUGUCACCAUAUUUGCCAGUCCUUUACCAUUUACCCAACAAUAUAAUGAAUAUGAAUAUCGUUCAUCCUCUCUUAAAAUAGUAGGCAUGUGCAAGACAUGGCUAGAAUGGCUUUCACAGCUAGUGUAAGACUUAUUAGCAAGCGAGAUACAGUAAUUCUUGAGAUGUUCAUUAAUGAAAAUACGGCUUUUAAUCAGAGAGUACCCUGAUUUUGAGACUGUAGAGAAUCUUCCAAGAGCCUUCACCGGCAAUCUUGAGAGUAUCUCAAUUAUGAUUUCACGUGGGAAAAACUCAAAGAUGGAAGAGUUAACGUCAGAAUUUGACUGAUUAGGAAUACCCACGUGUCAAAUUCAAGAAUGUCUCCAAAGCUCAGAAAAGCAAAAUAAAAGCCCAAAAAAAAAGAGAAAAAAUGGUUUUGCAAAUUGAGUCCAAUUCAUACGUAUGAAGGUUGAGUGAAAGAUGAAGACAAUUCAGGUAGUGAGUCCCAUGCGAUAAGAGUUCACCUAAACGGGAAAAUUACGACGUCUAAUUAAUGUCUAAACAAUCGAUACAAACAUAGAAAUCCCCAAAAAUUAAGGUAGUGGACAUUAUUUAAUUUGUGGUUGGCAUAUUAUCCUCUGUCGUUUAGAAUAGGAUUUUUCCCAGAUAGAUUUGGAGUUCACCUACAAAAAAGGUACUGAAAAUCACAACAUGUUUAUUAGAUACAGUCCUAUUCAGAGGAGAAAACGAUGUCAGGAAAACGGAAUUGAGGUAGUUUCAAAGACAUGUGCUUGCUAACAUGGAAAUUAUAUCAUUGAUUGAUUCAUAAGUGGCUUUUCCUUUACAUAUAUAUUAUCUUCAAACAAGAACUAUAGAUAUUUCUUUGCUUCUGAUCCACAAAAGUUUUCCUAACUGAGAAGGAGUUUAAUAUCCAGAUCUUAGACAUUUGAAUUAUUCCUCCGAACAGCAAGACUGGGUGGAGAGAAUUCAUUCAAGAACAGAAAGAAUGAACGAAAAAAAAAUCCGUCCACAAUAAUAUCUGCAGGGUGGUAGAGGAUGCUAAUAUAGAUGCAGGCACAACACCAUUAGCGUUAAGCAUGAAACUUAUAACCCUCCUCCCCCGGCCCCGGCAAACCAAAAAAGGAAAACAAAAAGAAGAAAGAAGAAGAAAACUCAUAAAAGAGUACCAUGAUUUGGCGACUGUAGAGAAUCUCCCAAGAGCCUUCACUGGCAAUCUAGAGAUUAUGAUUUCAGUUGGGAAAAAGAAACAGAUAGAAGAAUUAACAUCAGGCGUCAGUUCAUUAGGAUUUUCCAUGUCCUAAAAUUCAAGAAUGAUGCUAAAGGUUAAAGAAUACCCCAAAAAAACAAAACCCUUUUAGAAGGAUGAGUCAUGACUCAUGAGUGAAAGAUUAAAAAUAAUAUAAGCAGUGCACAAUGAGAUCCUAGUCAGAUUCGGAAAAGGAUAUUCCCUAAUUUGAAGAAGAGUAAGGAUUGCUGUCCGAAUCAGGCUAGUAUUGAAUCUUGAGCUUAUGGCAGUAUGGAAACUUACUGCUGAAUGGCAUUCAGCUGCUGCUGAAUGGCAUUCAGCUGUUUGGAAACUCAUUGGAUUAGGUGAUGUGUCUUCUAUUUGGUUUAGCAUGCAAGAGCAAUAUUGCUAAAGGAAGGAGUAUGACAAACCUUAAAUAUUCGAUGCCAAUCACUUGACAUUUUCAGUUUAUAUUAUUAAUAAUAAGAUAUUAUCAAAUAGUGACUAUUAUAAAAAGAAUAGUUUUAAUACAGUACGUACCAGACCACGUGAUGCACAUGAAACUGCGAUACCUUUCCGAAAGAAUGGUGAUGAUCUUUUUAUCCAUCAUCUUUUGUAAGGAACAGUUUUCUUUAGUGCUUUGAGACAAAUUUAUUGCUUGAUUUGCUUAUGAGUUACUAAGAUCUCUCAAUUUUCUAAGACAAAAAUUAUCUUUUCUAAGAUCUCAAUUUUAGUUACCGGACUAAAGCUUCCUUUCUUGGUAAAUACGUUAGAGUUAUAUCACAGGGUUAGACAGGUAAUUUUCAGGCAAAUUUGAAUUAAGAAGGGCCUAAACCCACAUAUUUUUGGGCUUUGUUAGACCGGACUUAAGAGUGUGUUGUGGGCUGCCCGAGCUUACCCACUUGAAUAUGCAUAAAAAAACUUUGUCAGUGAAUUGGAAACUAUCCAACGCAAACUUGGGCUGUCACAUGAACUUCUUUUUUUUUCCGUGUGUAGUGGAAAGCAGUUUUUGAAUGGUUAUUUAUUUGGAAAAAUUUCCUUUAGCACUUUCCAUUGUUAAAAAUGUGGGUUAUUUUAAAAAUGUGUUUACAUUUUUUUUUGAAAACAUUCCCAUACAAUGAUGAAGUUUUUUUUUUUUUUUUUUAAAUUAAACGCAAUGGUGAAGUUAAACAUUGAUUCAUUACUUUUACCUAACAAAUUGAUAAAUUCUAAUGUUUUAUUCUCAUGGUUGUUUUUGUCUUAAUUUUCUUUUGAGAGAAUCCUAUGGUAAACUACUCUGUGGUAAAAGGUAAAUUACUCUCUGUUGUGUUAAAAAAAAAUCCAAAAAGAAAUGUUAGCGCCCUGUUUUUAUAUUUAUCAUUGUAUGGAUCAAAUCCAUUUUUGUCCAUAAAGUGGUAAACCAAAUGCUUGGACAGUUAGAUCCUUGUACACAGCAAAAACUGAAAAAGACAUCACCCAAAAUGUCAGAAUUAAUUAUCAAGUGCUUAGACAAUACACAUCUUUUCUUGAGAAAUCUGUCUGGCUAGUUAUUUGUUCAGAAUAUAAUUGAAAAGAAAAGCGUUGUUGAAUUUUUUUUUUUUUUAUAAAGAUAUUAUCAAAAACCAUAUCCAAAACAAGCAAAAAAGUUCCUAAAACAUCGAUUUUUUUUUUCACCACUUAUAUGCCUAGCAAUUAGCAAAUCAUUACAUUCUAAUAUUUUCUCCUUGAUAACCUUUUUUUUUAAAAUUUCUUUUGAGAGAUUAUAAAUAAGAGAUUUUGGACUUAAAAUCUUUUACUUAAAGAAAAAAAAGAAAGAAAAGCUAAGAAUGUAGCUUGAAUAGAGUAAGGUGCUUUGUCCCUCUGCACAGUAAAAACUAAAAAAGAAAUCACCCAAAGUAACAGAAUUAAUUACCUUCCCACUGCCCCUAAUAAUUUGCAAAAACGGUUGGGAUAAUUUCAGAAGCCUCCCUUGAGGUUUAUGAUAGUUUCACUACCCUCCCCUGAAGCUUUCAAAAUAUCAUUAACCUCCCUUAAAACUAAUGUUCUUGUAACAAAUUACCCCAAUUCAAAAAAUCAACAAUGAAAAAAUGAUUUCAAGAGCAAGAAGAAUAUUUCAUACCAAAAAUGCCCCUUAACCUAUUACUAGUUCGUUAUCAAAAGGAAGUAUUAGUUAAAAAUCGAUAAUAAAGACUAAACUCUGGCAUGAAUAUAACAGAAUUUAGCAACAAUGACUUUUUUUCAUAGUACUACAUAAAAUAGCAAAAUCAAAGUAUUGGAGAGGAAAACUUGUUAAUUUGGAAUCAAGAUUUAUGCGAAAAAUUCCUAAACUCUUAUAGCUAGUUUGGAAGCUGUGAUUUGAUGAGAAAAGAAAAGAAGGUAAUAGAAAAGACACUUUUUCUAGCAUUUGAGAGUUUUUGAAGGGGCAGAAAAAGAUGGAAAGCGUUUGAUUUGAACUGAUGAGCUCCUACUAUUAUGGUUGCCAAAGUUUUCUGCCCAAAUAUGGGCGGAAAGCAUCGGAAAAGUUGAGAAUGCCUAAUAAAUUUUUUCUAAAUACCAAAUUUGUCCUCAAAUGUGUAUUGAACAAAUUUUUAUUGCUAUAUAUAUAUAUUUAUAUAUAUCCAAAAUCAUCGCUUUUCCUAUCUUAACUCCUAAACAAUAUUAAAAUCUCUUCUCUUCCUUUCUUUUCUUUUCUUUCAUAACUUAACAUUUCCCAUCUUUUCUUUUCUAACCUAAACAUCCAAACUAGCUAUAUUAGUCUCAUAAUUUGAAAGAUUUUGAAAAGGAAUUGAACAAAACAAAGCAUGGCUUUUUUUAAGAAAAAAAAAAUCACAAUAGAUGGCUAAUGACAAAAAAUAUAGAAUAUGCUAAAAUAUGUUAUGUUUUUUGAAUUUUUUCUUUAACUUACGGGGUCCAUUAUUUCACACGAUUAACAAGAAAUUUCCAUCAUUUGUAAUUAAGAAAAACCAACUCCCAACCAACGAUUGGAUUAAUAAAAGGGUAUGAUUUGAAUGGAAAAACAAAUAAAUCAAAGUAGAAAUAAUUUUUUCUAACCAUCUUGUUUGGAUUACUUAUACAAAGAAAGAAAAGAAACACCAAAUAUUUUGGAAAAGAACGGAAAGAAUAGAUUAUGUGUAGUUACAUUUUAUCCAUAAUUUAAUAAAAUCUAAUUGUAAACAUAUUUUAAUACUUUACCCUCUUUUUGUAUAUUUUCAUAUGCAUCUUGUUAUUCUUAUGAAAAAUUUAUGAAAUAAUAAUAUUUAAAUAAGAAUUUUAAUCUUUUUUUACAAGAUAGAAAUUACAAGAACUACUAAAAUAUGGAAAAAGAAUUUUAAAAUGAUAACAAUUGUUGUUAUAAAAUUUGGUAUUCAAAAUUUUCAAUUUUUUUUUGUAUUCAAACUCAUGGUUAAUUUAGUACAAGUGACUAAAUUGGUCCUCUCUGUAUAAAUUCGUAAUUUUUCCUAAGUUGUAAGGAUAGUAAAGACAUUUGACCAUCCACAAGGUAAGCAUUGGGCUCCAAAUAACUUAUAGGGGAGGUAAGUAGUAUUUCUAAAACUUCAAGGAGGGCAGUGAAAUUCUCAGAAACCUCAGGUGAGGUUUCUGAAAUUAUCCCAAAACGGUUACGCAAAAACCUAUCAUCAAUCCCCUCAUAAAUCUCCCUACUUGUAGAUCACGGUAACCGCCAUCAUCUCCCACGUUCUCUCUCCCCUCUUCUCUCUCUCUCUCUCCCUCCCAUUCUCUCUCAAUAUCUAUCACUCUCCCAAGUCACAGCUGAUCCUGUUAGUUUGAUUAGGUUGUUGGUUAAGGUAAAAAAGCACAAAACAAGAAUCUUAGUAUCUGUGCUAUAAUUCCGUCUACUGCUAUUCAACAAACAAAAGACUGCUUGUUUAAGACAUUAGUGUACUUUCCUCAGGUUCGUCUCUUCCUCUCUCUCUCUCUCUCUCUCUCUCUCUCUCUCUCUCUCUCUCUCUCUCUCUCUCUCUCUCUCUCUCUCUCUCUCUCGAAUGUUUUGAGCAUCUUAUGCAGUCAAUGUUUUGAGCAUCUUAUGCACUCAUUACACACUAAUAGUAGAUUUUAUUGUGCCUUUUUUCUUUCUCGGGUCUUUUUAGUUUCCGUAUCUUUUCAUUGAACCAACUGUUUAGUCUGUCUUCUUCCCCUCGUCUCAUUAAAACCAUAUCAAAAAGUCUGCGCUAGCUGGUACUAUUCUUGUUCAUCAACCUCGGAUUUUGCUGUCGAAAUUCGCACUGACUAUUAUCAUUGUUUGUGUGUACUAGGAUUCGUGACUAAUGGCUUUGAGCUGCUAUUCCAACUGGGGAGAACUGGAACAACACCACGACUCAGAGAUGACUCUGCAGUUUGCUCAACCACCAGCAGCAGAGCUGUCUCCUGAGCUUCUUGGCUUCAACCACAUGAAUUUUGCCUUUUCAGACCCUUAUCUCGACCCUAUUCUUGAAUCCCAAGAUUUAGUUUACUCAGACAACUACACCUCUUUGCUUCCCCACUUUUCAUCUCCAUCUGAUGAAAACUCCAAUAGUUUAUAUUCCCUCGUCCCGGAAGUCUUUCCAGAACUCGAAUACCAGCCUUGCCACAGUGCCAAACGCCAAAAGAUUUUCGAGGGCUGCUACAAUAACUCGGAGGUGUUACCUUCAAGUUUUGGCAGCAGGUUCAUUCCCAAUCCACCAUUGCUUCAGGAGCUUUCGCCGCCCGAGAUUCUGUCUCCAUUUUCUGGAAGCUUAGCCAGUAAACCGCCAGUUUUUUGCAGUGGAAGUACAGGUGAGAUGACUGUGAAGAAGGCUAGUAAUGGAGGGACUUUGUCUUCUCAAAGCAUAGCUGCUAGACAGAGGAGAAGGAAGAUUACCGAGAAGACUCAAGAGCUUGGGAAGCUUAUUCCUGGUGGCCAGAAGAUGAACACUGCUGAAAUGUUCCAAGCUGCUUCAAAAUAUAUCAAGUUCUUGCAGGCUCAAGUUGGAAUUCUUGAAACCUUGGCUUCUGUUCAGGUAAUUCUACUUACUUCCUUUAUUGAGAUUCUUUUUCGUGCCAAACCUGUUAUUGUAAGUUUCAGGGCAUAGGAAAGGAUGGAAAGGAUGGAGAUGGUGGUUUUUUUUUUUAAAAUUUUUUUAUUUUAUUUUAAGCUGAUGGCUGGUGUCUUUUUACAGCCUUACCAAACAAAUCUUUGUAAAUUUGUUUUGCAGUAGAAAUUGCCCUUUGGGUACUUUCCAUAUUUACUAUCAUAGAUAGGAAAGAAAAGAUCUUAUUGGGCAAUUAAGGGACCUCCUUGCUCUAAGAGAUACCUUUUAUGUAAUUUGCAGAAACUUAAGAAUAACUUAAGACAUCUUUUCUCUUUCAAGUUUUAACGUGAAAAAAGAAAGAUUUGUUUAAUCUUUUGAGGAUGUUAUAAGCUAAUUAGAGGCAGAACUGCCUGUAUCUGACUCGUUUUCUCUCUAGUUCUUUAUUGUUGCAAAGUAUCGAUAUUCAGCUUAUAUGAGCAGAAGAAAUCUUGAAAUUUUUGGUAUUUCAGAAUACAGAUUCUAUGACUUUUGUAGAACUUGAUAAUGUAAAUGUUCUGGUAAUUGAUAUUCAGAUACUUGAAUACACGAAUCAUAUGUGUAACUCUGGCGAUAUAUGCUUGCAGGAAAAUGGGAAAUCUUUGCAGAACGAAGAACUUAAUCCUCUUCUUGGAUCUUCUUUGAUCCAAGAGAAAUUGUACUCAAUGGAGAUGUGUUUGGCUCCCCAAAAAUUUGUUCAAUCCCUUGCGGAGGAUAAUGGGGUUGAAUUGAACACUCAGGCCUUGAAUGACUGCAAAGAAUUGAUUGGGAUUGGCUGCUAAGAAGCACAUAUGAUGGUUUUGACUUCUACUGUUGUUUUGUCUGUUUGUUUUUUUAACCAAUAUUCAUUCCUUACUUUUGUAUUCUCACUAGAUCGAUGUAGGCUAAUCUUUAGGUUUUCUUUUCUUUCUCACGUUGCUAAUCUAAUUACCCUCUGAUCUGAUCUUUUACUUGUAAAUUCCUCCUUUACAAGGAAUAGAUUGAAGUUUCUUUUUUUUUUUUUUUGUUUCAAUCCAAUCUUUAAUUUGUCAUUUCGUUAUCUUUCAAUCAUGAGGACACUAAAUAGCCUUUAAUUGUGAACCAGUUAAUCGCAUUCAAUUCAGCAGCAAAAUCGUUACGCUUAUAAUUUUAUGCUUCUAAGUUGUCUAGGUGGGAAAAGUAUUUUCCUCCUCUUUUUUUUUUUUGAAUAAAAAUUAAGUUUAGGAGGAUUCAGUUCCGACUACCAUCACAAGUCAGUCAAGAUAUACUACAAAAUCGUAGGUCGCUCAUAAAGGAUUUUACAGAUCUCCUGCCAAUACAGUCGACAACAAGAUAAUCAAUCAAAUUGGUCUUUUUUCUUUGCAUAUUACAAAUUUGACAUGAUUCAUCAAAGAUAACCAAUCAAAUUGACAACUCAAUCAUAACAUUUUUUUUCUUUUUCUUUUAGGUCAAUCUCCAAUUCUUACACUAAUGCUUGGACCCCUAAGUCCUAAUCAUCUUCUAAUCUAUCUAUAGGAGUUUAAAGAUUUUAACCCUAGACCCCAGCCACGGUAUAACAUCUUAUUGAAUUGGCAAAAUUAAGGUUUGCCAUAUAUAUAGAGAAAUAUAAACCUUCCUAGCAAGUUUUUAAUGCUUCAUUUUUUUUAAAAAUUUUUUAAUGCUUCAUUUAAAUUAACUGAUAACUGCUCUAUAUUCCACCAAAUCGAAGAGUGUUGUUUUUUUUUUCACUGUGGCUGUAGAUUCGUACUCUAUUAUUCCAUGAAAAACCUCACUCUGAACUGCCAAAGUUGAAGUUCCCAUCAGAAUAUUCUUCCUAUUGUUGUAUCACACUAUCACUUCCAUGUUUUAGUAACAUAAUUUUAUUCUUAACCAUUUAUUUCUCAUUUGCUUACGUCCUUUCUGUUUAACCUUUCAGUAAAAGUUCUCUGUAAAUUUUCCACGACAAAAUAAUUAAUAAGUUCAGGAAGUGUAGUUCUUUUUUCUUUUUCAGAUAAAGUAUUUACUUUACAAUUGGCCUAUGUGAUGUGCCUUUUACGAUGGUACUAAAACUCUACUCCUUUAAUGGUAUAUGGAGGAAAUUAUUGUUACUUCUUUUGUUUUUCUUUUUUUUUUUUGGGGUAAAAGAUUAUUGUUACAUCUUGUGAUGAGUAUAACUUUGAGAAGCUUUAAAUUGUUUACAUGCUUUCAAGUCGUUAAAUUUUUCUAAAUUUGUGCUUCUAUAAAGUAAUUUCUUGCAAAGAAUUUUAAGGUACUAUUCAAUCAAUUAAUAUACAGAGAACAAUUAAUGGAAUGAAAUAAAUUUUGGUAACCAUGAAAUUUUUUUCCUUUUGUUAAAAAUAGAUUCCAAGCCUAACAAGAGAAUAUUUGGGCGUCGAAACAAAAAUAUUUACCAUGAUUUAGCUUGAGAGUCAAAUUAUGACAACUAAUUUUUGGACAAAAGAAUAAACAAAUCCGCCCUUAAAAAUACUUGAUUGCCCCAUCUGCAAACAAUUGUGGAGUAAAUUCAUAAAAUUUCUAACAACAUGAGUUUACACAAUAAAAUCCUACUAAUGGUGUCUUAGAUGGAAUAACUCAUCCAAAAUUCAUAGACUUGCAUAUUAUUGCAGUUUAUAAUAUCAUUAUUAACAAAAACUGCAUUAACCAAUUAUUCAUAAUCCAUAACACAAAUAAAAAAAAUAAAAUAGAUAAUCCAUACACGACCAAAAUAAAAAUCCAUUUUUUUAAGAAUUUGUAUAGAAAAAUGUACCGUAAUGAUUUGAUGUAGGUAAAGUAAAAAGAUGAAUGAAAAAUAUGAUCACGAAAAACGUAAAUUUUUUUUUAACAGAAGCCACAAUGCAAACAAAGAAUAUAAGAUUCAUAUGCCCAAAAAGGGAGAAAGAGGCCCAACUUAGAAAUUGUACUCCGAGUAGCUUCAUCUUUUCACAACCCUAAAACCCUAAACCCCUAAAGUCCCGGAACUGCCGGCGGUAAAAUCUCUCCGGCGAGCGUGUUUCUCAAAACCACGCUUUCUCUUAAAAGAAAAAUCCCACAGCUCCACGUGUCCCUCUCUUGUUCAUUCAAAAGCAAAUGGCCGAUCAAGCAACUACAUCUUGGUGGAAGGAGCUCCCACUUGUAUUCAUCAGCCCACCAACGGCGUCGUUUGAUGACCUCCCUCGAGACCUAGCCAUCAACAUCCUCUCAAGACUCCCCGUCAAAACCCUAGCCCAGUCAACAGCCGUCUCCCAACACUGGUAUUCUCUGAUCAAGAACCCUAUUUUUGUCCGAGCCCACUUCACUCGUUCAAUUUCUCAGCUAGCUGCUACUAGUACUGACCACUGCAUUUUAGUCACUCCUAAGGAAUUUUCUGAUGAACCCACUUUGUCGAUUUUCGCCGACAACGAAAAUUAUGACUUGUGCUGUAAAGUUAAAAUCCCAUUUCAGACCUGGUCGAAAACGGUACAAAUUGUGGGUUCCUGUAAUGGGCUUGUCUGUUUGACUGAUGAGGUUGAUUGUGCUUAUGGCGGGGAUGUUUACUUGUUUAAUCCUGUUCUUAGGAAGUAUAAGAUCCUGAAAUCUGAGUUUUCUUGUUAUUGUGAUUGGAUGGAAAAGAAUUUUUCAACUUAUCCUGUUUUAGGAUUCGGGUUUUGUGAGCGAGACAAUGAUUUCAGGGUUGUCAGGAUUCUUUAUUCAGCUCAUCAUGUUGGGGAGAAAUUGAGGCCUAGGGUGGAGGUUUAUAGUUUGAAGAGUGGGAAAUGGAGGAGUGUUAGGGCUAAAAUUGAUCAUAUGGUAUUUCGGGGUUGUAAUGCUUUUGUUGAUGGGUGUAUAUAUUGGCUUGCUGCUGAGAAGGCUCAUGGUCGAUUGUCGUGGGUGAUGUGGUUUGAUUUGGAGGAUGAGGUGUUUCAUGACGUGGAAAUGCCAGAGAACUAUGACAAGGAUACUUGGGACGAUAAUUUGCCAGUUAAUAUCAUGCGAUGGAAUGGUGAGGUUGCCAUAGGUGCUAUUGAACCAGGUGGGACAGGGAAUUAUGUCAAAUGUGGCUUUUGGGUUUUGAAGAAGGAUGAUGGUGGGGAGUUGCUUUGGGAGAGGAAGUUUAAGCUAGUUUUGAAGGAUGCACUGUGCGGGAUUCCAGUUGGAUUUACUUGGUGUGGGAAAGUUGUGAUUGAUGCUCUUGAUAGAGAAGACCAUUCACGUAGAAAGGCGAAUGCUGCACUUACCAAGACAGUUGCACUUGACCUCAAUGACAUGAAAUUCAAGGAUCUUGCAGUGGAUGGGCCUCACACAGUGGCUACUUGUUUCGAGGAAAGCCUUGUUCUGUUCUUGGACUAAAGUUAUCCUCUUGCCUCCCCUGUAGGUAUUUUUAUCAUCAAACCUUGAUUUUUUCCUGAUACUCCAUUAUCAUACGAAGUUUCUGAUUAAGCACCUGCACAAUGAAUCUUGAUUGUUAGUUGAAAAUUUUAUCCUAUACGUCGAUGCAGAUGUGUGUUUCUCAUGGUUACUACACUGGUAGCAUUUUGGGAAGUUUGUAAAAACAAGAGCUUUGUUUUCGAUUACCCAAAACACGAAAACGUGUUCUUGAAUGAGGAUCGAUUGAAUUUACUCUUGUAGGCACAGUGCAAUGUACAGUCGUGCAUGCUAUAUGUAUUCCAGGUUCUGUUAAACUAUUUUGGUACAAAUAAUUCAACCAAUUUAUGGUUGGAUAUAUAAAAAAUUGAUUGUCGGGUUCAGCUCAAUUAGUAGUCCUGUGGUUGUUUGCACUGAAUCGAAUGGACAACCUAAUUCAUAUGUGGGUUCUGAAGGAUUUUUUCUAGCUCUGGAGCUUGACAUUUUCAACUGUCUAAGCAUCCAUAAUUGGAUCACUAGUCGCCAUGUCACAUGUUGAUUUUGUGGAGAUACCUGUCUUACUUUUAUUGUAUUAACAAUGGGGAGAUAUUUUUUUACUUGAGAGGGGUUUGUAUGCUUGAGAGUGCUUGAAAUCCUCAGGAUGAUUGUGAACUAGCAGCUUAUGCAAUCUGAUUUUCUUUCUAAAAGUUUGCAUUCGCAGAAAGCAGUAGUGUCCUGUUAAAAACGCAAAAUGUGGAAAGGAUUAAAAACUUGGUCAUUAAAAAUUGGGUUUUCUCAUAUCAUUGCCCUUUUGGCUGGUCAUUUCUCUCCUGCAGCACAUACGGUUCUUAGCAAAAAGAUUCAUGGAUCAGAAUUAUAUGUUCUUUGUUCCCCUCUUUUAUUCAGAUUAUGCAAUCUGCCUUUAUUUCUAAAACUUUGCAUUCACAGAAAGCUGAAAUGACAUGUUAAAAAUGCUAAAUGUGGAAAGGAUUGAAAACUUGGUCAUUAAAGUUUUGGUUUCUCCAUAUUGUUGCCUUUUUGGCAGGUCUUUUGUCUCCUGCAGCACAUAUGAUUCUUAGCAAAGAAUCAUGGAUCGAAAUUUUUAAGAGCUUUGUUCCCCUUUUAAAUCAGAGUAUAAGUCACAUAGACCAAUUGUUUUUCUGGCAUGGUUGACUUUUUUAUGUGCCACAAAAUUUGCUCUUCGUUGACAGCAGUGCUUCACCACUGCACUUUCAUUAACCGUAAUGCUUCAAUACUGCACUUUGAAUCUGUGGAUUGUCCGUCAUGAUUUGACAGGGAAUUUGAUUGAAGCAAAGCUCAUGGAUUGUUUUAGAUCUUACACAUUUAUUUAUAGUUUUGCUAGAAAUUGAGAGUCAACUGUAUGUUAUAAUCAUAGUUUUUCUCAAGAAAUAGUUGGUUGUAUUCUUGCUCAGGUCUUUUUUCCUUUCCCAUUCUCUGAACUAGCUUAACAACUGGACCUGCUUUUCUGAUGCUUGGUUCCCCAGAGUACAUGUCAGAUCGUUAAUUGUGAAUAUAGGUGUAAUAUAGUCAACUUGUUGUGAGAUAUAGCAGGCUUUGCUUGUAUCCAUUUUGGAAAACAAGUGGUGGACAUCCUCAAUGGGAUUUAGUCAUCUGAAUGUCUGUUUCUUGAGUCAUGGUACUUAAAAUUUGCAAUCAUUUGGUGGAAUACUGAAAUGCAUCUCUUACUGAAGAUCUUCAGUUGCCUAUGUAUUGGAGCCGUAGUCUGUUUUGCUCGAAGUAAACUAACUUGCUUUGUGUUCUUUUGGUACUUUGUACAGGCAAGGACAAGAUUAAGUGAUCUUUGCUUGCUGAUGAUUAUGGAAUUUCCAGACUGAUCCCAAACUGUGUAGUUGAAGUAUGUAAAGUGAGUAGAGUGACUGUCUUGUGACUGCUGAUUAAGAUAUUUGCUGCAUGAUCAGAUGUUUACAUCUGACUUACUAGGAUGAAUUGUUGAGGAGGUGUAUCUUCCUGAUCAGAUGGCCACAGCUAACUUAUUUGGUGGUUUAUCGAUUAUGCUGCUCUAGAUUAUCAGGCGUUAAAUCUUGUUCUAAUCUUUUGUCUACACGUAAUCACCCACAAACAAAACUUGAUAACAUGAGAAUGGCCAAGGUCUACAUUUGUUCAGCACCCAUCACUCAGGAUGUCGUUCCUGAUGUAUUACAGGGAGAAAUGACCAGCGUUUCUCAGUCAUCCAGAGUCGUCCAAAGCCCAGCAGUUGUUGGCAUUAUGCCUUAAACAAGGGGGAGAGGUCGAACCUCUUAAACAGAAACAAAACAUGGAGUUGCAGCCCCUAUAAUAUCUGCUCUAAGCAAUUCCCUGAGCUCAUGUGGCGGUUCUGUGAUGAUCUGCAUCCCAGGAUCCUUGUUGACACUGGUUUUGGCCAGCCAAUCUGCACAUUUAUUUCCUUCUCUCCAAAUGUGUUGUAGCCGGCACUCCCAAUCCCUGUUUCCAUAAUUCCUAAUCUGACAUAUCAGAUUGUGGAAAGGUGAAUCCUGUCCUGCUCCUUGGAUUAGGUCCAGUGCUGCCUUCGAAUCCGUUUCCAGGAUCACUCUCCUUUCUCCUGAGCUCCACGCCAUUUCCAUCCCUUUUGAGUACUCCCCAUCGCUCUACUGUCGUAUUGUCUGUUAGCCCAAUAUUCACUGCGAAGCCAGCUUUCCAUCUUUCCCAGCAUUAUGCCUUUCGUUGGCUUAGUCUCUAACCAAAUUCUCAUAUUCAUCUCCUAUUUUCCAACCAGCUCUGGGGACAAGGUUAUUGCGCUGAACUGAAUUCCCCAUGAGAAAGAAGUACCAGAUGAUUUCCGGUAAGUUCUCAAGUGUAUUUUGCAAAUGAGCUUCUUUAUCAAGACGCAAACAGCCUUGGUUGCCUGCCUAAACCGUCUCGCUGGAAUGAGAUCAUUACAUUUUUUUUCGGAUCACUGCAUACCUUGACUAAGGCUAAUCACUAGUUGUAAGUUGUAACUGCAUAAUCAUGAGUGUCGUGAAGAGGAUCGGCUUAAAGCAGCAAAAGAAGUGGGCCACAAUGAAAUGUUAAUUGGGUACUGCGCAGCAUUAAAAAUAUGAAAAAUCGUUCAACAUGUCAUUCACUUUUGAAAUGUUAAUCUUACACCUCUUGUAGAUUUAAAUUUGCAAAAUUUGGCCUCAACUUAAGUUUUCAACUAAUUUUUAAUAGGGUUAUUAUCACUUUAUCCCCUUAAACUAUAUCACUACUAUCAGUUUACCCCAUAACGUUAUUUUUUAAUCACUUUACCCCCAUAAGUAAUUCAACUCAACAUGUUAAGAAAUUUUGGACAAAAUACCCUUUUAUUUUAUAGUAUUACUACAUUGUUAUUAUCGCUUUCUUCGUUUGGAUUAUAGUGAUACAAUCGCUUUAGUUCCUAACACUAUUUUCUAGACAUUUUACCUUAUUAUUAAUCUAACUAGUAUGGUCAAAAAAUUUUAAAUAUAUUUACCCUUUUUAUAUAUAAUUAAAAAUAAAAAAGGUUGGAAUGAUUAUUCUUCCUUUUUUCACUUUAAGAGAUAGAAAAAUUCUUUUUUUUUCAUACUUAUUACUACUAGGAAAAGAAAAAGAGAUAGGAAAGAAGGAGACAAAAAAUUAGAUUUUGCAAAAAAAGAAAAUAAAGAAAAGUCUAACAUUAUCGUAUUACUUUAAGGUUAUCGGGAUUAGAAUUGAAAUUUGGUGGUAAACAAAAAAGUGAAAUAAUUUUAAAAUAAUAAAAGUAUUUAAUUCUUUCUUAUUUGUAAUUUUUAAAAAAAGAAUUGAGCUCUCUCUCUCCCCCUCCCCCUCUCCAUAUUUCUAUUUUUUUUCAAUAUUAAUAAGAUUGCCAAUGAAAAAAAUUAAUAUUUUGACUUUUUUUCUUGAUACUAAAAAGAAGAAGAGUCACUCUAAAUUUUUUAUUAUUUUGAUUAUGCAAAGAGAGGGUAUUUUCUUCUAAAGUUUUUAAUUUGCUAAGUUGGUUUAAUGGUAGGAUAAAUUGUCUAAAAAAUAAUUCUAGGGUGUAAAUUGAUAAUGAGACUAUAUUUUAUGGGGGUAAAGUGAUAAUAAUUUUAAGGGUUAAACAUGUCUUUUCACUUUAAUUAAUAAACUCCAUUAAGUUUGACCAUUAGUUUUGGGGAUAAAAUGACUAAAAGAUAACGUUAAGGGGGAAAUUGAUAGUAGUACCAAACGUUAAGGAGGUAAAGUGAUAAUAACCCUUUUUAAUAUGAAAUCGCCACACAAUCAACAUGUAGUCAUUUUCUUUUAUGUAUAAAUAGGUCAAAUUCAACUUUUUUUUAGUGUAAAAAAUGAAUAUGGAUUAGGUCAAAUUUCACAUUUUUUUGGGAAAAAAAAUGAAUAUGGUUUGAGUCAGAUUCUACGUUUUAGGAACAAAAAUAAAUAUGGAUUGAAUCAUUUGUUUAACUAUAAAUGAGAUUUAACCUUUUUGUUAAAAAAAAAAAAGAUCAUAUGUGGUCACUUGAUGGAUUAAGGAUAAAUUUUAUCGACUUAAUUUUGUAGGGGAUACAAAGUUAGCAUUUAAAAGUGAAGAACGAAAAAAUUCGUUUGGCGAAAUGUAAAAAACAAAUUAUAUUUUAAACGAUUUUUCCUUAAAAAUAAAAAUAAUCUGAAUUUGUAGUCCUUUCUUUUAUUUUUUUAUUUUUUGAAGAGAGAAUUUGAAAAUUUUCCGGUGGGCUUCUUUUCUAUCUCCUUAAAGUGUUUCAGUGUGAAUUUACCUUUUUCUUGAAGGGACAUAAUAUAGGAGGACCUAUCAAAAUUCACGUUUUCAGUGUAUGUAUGUCACAAUAAAUAAAACUAGCCAGCUGAAUAUUUCUCAAGACUUUUAUGCUUUUCAUUUCAAGGGACAAUUGAUUAUUGAUCUAGGAAACAAGAAAAUCAAAAAGUAAUUGAGGAAUAUGCGAUAUUUUUCUAUAUCGUUUAGGAGGAAAUGUUGGGGUAGUCAAUUAAAAACCCUGAAAGAUUGUUAUCGUUAGGGGAAAAAAAAAAUUAAAAACCCUGAAAGAAUAAAAAACAAAACGAAAAAGUAAAAUCCGACUGGAACGUUACGACGUCGGAUUAUUCAUACAUUUCAUUUCCGUUCUCCCGUUGAACCCUACUAAAACCCUCUUCUGUGUCCAAUUUCAAGAAAUAGCCCCAACAAGGGUUUAGAAGAAGGAAGUUAAAAAUGGCGAGCCGUCUCGUUCAUUUCCGACCGACGGCGAGACUUCGGUGGCUGUCUACAGCAACAGAAACGGCAACGGCAACGGCAACGACAGCGACAACGGCUGUGACCCAAGAUACAGCAACGGCUGUGACCAAAGACAAGCCUAAUAUCUCUCUGUUCAGGAAACUGAAGGAGCUGAAUAUUGGACCAGGCUCAGACGCUAAUGUUUCAGUGGUUCUAGAUGAAUGGGCCAAUGAAAGUCAGGCUAAACGAUUCGAUGUUGCUAGACAAAUCAAUUUUCUCCGAUUCCGCAAACAUUACCAUCUAGCCCUCCAGGUAAUUUCUUGAAUUUGGUUAUUUUCUUCUUUCUUCUUCUUUUUUUUUUUUUGUAAAAAUUGUUUCUUUAGGCAUUCCUAGAUUUGUGGAUGAAUGAAUAUGCGACACGUGAGAUUUAUGCUUUAGAUGGUUUAUUGUGCUUGUGGAGUGUAUUUAUUCAAAUCAAGUUGCUGUAUUCUUAUUGGGUGCUAAAUUGUUGUCAUGUGGUGAAAUUUUCUUUGUAAUUGAUAUUAGUAUGCAUUCUAAUCUUUUGUUUCGAUUUGAAUAAAAAAAACUUUGAUUGUUUUAUUCCUUUUCGAAUGCUUAUUAUUCUUAGACAGAUAGCGAAUGUGAUUGUGGAAAAGAGCAUUACUUUAUCAUAGGAAGAAAAGUCAUUUGUUGGGUAUGCAAGAAGUGAUUGUUUAUUUGGGUAAUAUGGUCGGGUUGGAAACAGCAUAGAUGUGCUGUUUGUUAGCAUUGACAACUAUUUGUAAAACAGGGGAGGCAUAGAAUUUGGGUAGCAGAUGAUAUGUUUAUUGAACAUUAGAUGCUCAGUUUUUGUAGGAAGCUUUUUACCCUUAUGGAAACAAAAUCUGGGAUGUAUUCUUUUAAUAUGCUUGUUGAAAAUAGGUAAAGGAUCAAGCGUGGGUUGUAUAGGAAAUUGUACCUGUAUACCAACAAUGGGGAUUGAUGAGGAAGGAACAAGUUGAAUUGUAGAUUAAAUUGUAGUUAUCUAUCAACUUCAGGAAAUAUAUAGACUUUGCAUGGACAUCUGUUGAAUUAAUAAUAUCUUUUCCUUCCUUAGAUGGCAUUUUAUUUGCUUCUGUUUGUUCUCAAACUGGAUAGUUUGGUUUGGACUUUGUAAUUGUUUUCCUUAUCUUGUUACUAAUGCAGCUAUCAGAAUGGCUGGAGAGCAGCAAGAUUGAGAUGAACAAUGCUGACCGAGCUGUGCAGAUUGACCUUCUUGCAAAAGCUAAGGGUAUUGCUUCAGCUGAAGUUUAUUUUGAUGGUCUUCAGGGAUCUGCAAAAACAAACAAAACUUAUGGAGCACUUCUUAACUGUUACUGUAAGGAGAAAAUGUUGGAUAAGGCUGUCCAACUCUUUGCCAAGAUGAAGGAGCUGAAUUUUACUUCCACUCUGAACUAUAACAAUGUGAUGUCUUUAUACUUGAGCAGUAACCAGCCCGAACAAGUCCCUCUGCUUGUGCAAGAAUUGGAGCAGAAUAAACUUAAAGCAGAUAAAUAUACUUGCAAUCUGUUGAUUAACAGCUAUGCUUCCUCAAAUGAUAUAAACGCAGCGGAGAAAGUUCUUGAAAAGAUGAAGAAAGAUAAGGUAAAGUAUGAUUGGUUCACUUAUGGGAACCUAGCAACUAUUUACGUCAAUGCUGGACUUCUUCCCAAGGCCAAAGAAAUGAUAGGAGAGAUGGAGAAAUUUGAAAAUGUGCGUGAUCGUGAGUUUUUCCAUAUGCUAAUCAACUUGUAUGAGCUUAUGUCUGACUUGGCUGGGGUUCAUCAUGUGUGGAACUCCCUCAAGUCAGUUUUCCCCUCCCCCAGUAACACUAGCUAUCUCAUCAUGCUGUUGGCUCUGUUUAAAUUGGGUGACCUGGAAAACCUGGAGAAGUAUUUUAGAGAGUGGGAAUCUCAAUGCUCAUUGUACGAUGUCAGACUAUUCAAUGUGGUCUUGGAAUCUUAUCUUAAUAGGAACAUGAUUGGGGAAGCUAAUGCUCUCUAUGAAAGUAUGGUGACCAAAGGAAUUGAUCCCACCUUAGCGACACUGAAUAUUUUCACAAUCUACCACAUUAAGAAUGAUCAGAUUGAUUCGGCUCUGAAGUAUCUGGAGAUGGGUGCAUGCAAGACAAUCCCAGAGGAACAUAGGUGGUUUCCUACAGAUGAGACUAUCAAAUUGUUUUUAGAAUAUUUUGAGAAGAAAAAUGAUGCGACUAGAGCUGAGAAGUUUUGUAACAGCAUGAAGAAGAUUGGUCGUCUUGAUUCUACCGUUUAUGCAUCUCUGCUUUCCAAAAGUUGAUGACUAGAUCACUGCAUCGAAGUAUAGAGGUGUUUCUGAUUUAAAUAUGGCAGUGAGAAGAGGCCUUGACAAUUUGAUAUUUUAUACUGGCCUAAUUCAAGUCUUGCAAGGAAUUCGAGUUUAUGUUCACAAAUGCUAUUGUGCGAAGCAAAGCUGGCCUGUACUGAAACCUAAACUAUGGUGGUGAAAAUCAAUUUUGCCAUUAAUUCAUUAUGUCGUCACAAGAUGGUCACACACUCUAGUCAUUGUGGCUUUUUGACCUUCUCCUAGACAUGCCUCAAUUGUAUCCUAUCAUUCCUUAGCCUCUAGACCAACCACUUGAUAAUAGGGUUAUAAAAUGGGUACUAAGUGAAUUUGGGAUCAAAUUUAAGUUACACUAAAUUCAACCCACUUAAAGGUAGGAUUGAUCAGUGUACACAUACACACUCUAUUACAUGCAUGUAACACACAUAACAAAAAUAAAAUAGAAUAAGAGGUAGGUUGCUUUUUUCCUUGGAUGACUAUAUAUGAAUCUAAUCUUCAUUAACUGUAUAUAAUGCAUUUUCUUUGUCCAACUAGAAAAAAAUUGCUUACUUGUAAUUUUAGUAGAUGAAGAUAUUCAAACUAAUUUCAGGACUGAAUGAAUUUUCCACAUAUUGCAUUCCGUGUAUUUUACUAUAUGUUAACAUGAAUGAUAUAGAAUUUGAAUAUGGGUCAACUUGAAUAUCAGUCAUAAGUCCAAUUUCUUCAUAAACCAAGAAUUGAGUUUGAAUUCAAGAAUAUGAUUUGUUAUGUGAGUCGAGCUCAAGCAUAUCAAAACUCAAACUUAUAAAAUCCAAUUGACAGACCUAUUUCACUUGAACAGAUAAAAUGCUCAAAUAAGAUCAGUGGAAUUCAUUAACUUGAUUGACAACAGUUCAUGAAGGACCCUUUUAUGUCCAUUUGACUGUAUUACUUUUGUCAAAAGCCAACUAUUGAGCUUAGCAAGUAUUUCGCCCCAAGUACCUGUUUUAUACCCUGAUAAGGAUUUCGCACGAAAAUUACCCUCAAUGUGCACGAUCAGGAUGUCCUCCUAAGUCCCAGGGCUUAUCCGAUUUCAUAACCAGUGUCCAAAGCUAUUUAGGUCGGUUCUUGAACUUGUCUUAAUUGAUCUGUUUAAUUGAAAUGCUUGAAACUCCAAAACUUUGGUAUAUCUAUCUCUUUGAGUAUAUGGAAUUCUUACAAUCUUCUAUUCAUCUGUUUGGCUGAGAUAACCAAAUCCAAGAGCCAAGAAACUACUAUGCCUAUUUGAAUGCUUUAUGUUAAUGCUUGAAGAGGAAAUGCACUUAUAUUUUCUAAUACAAUGAUUCCAUAAAUAUGGUUUACCCAAUGUAGUAGAUGGUAUUUCUUUUUUAUUGGCAAAACUUUGGUUUUUAGCACAAAGGAAAUUGGAGGCUUUGACAGGGAGGGCUGUAAACCACAUAAAAUGUACCAGUUGGUUGCUCUAGGGUAAGACAUGAAUCUGAAAAGUUGGAGUUCAAGUUCACCAUGGUAAGGAAGCCAGAUCAAACAAGUCCCGUGCCUGAGUCACCUACUGAAGCAAGUAAAUCAUCAACAGUGGAAGAGAAGGCAUGGAACUAUAUAUAGCUGGUAUGCCUACGCCGCCAGAGGAGAUGAAGCUCAUUUCUUCUGGGAAUGCAAGGACUAAGAAGAAACCACAGCAGUGCAUUAACAAUUCAGUGUAUGGUGGUUGCAGCAGCGGCAGCUACAAGAGGGAAUCCUCGCAUCCCAAGCUCAAGGCAAAUGGCUGAAGCCAUAACCUGGAGAUGCUUUUGGAUAAACCUGCUACUGGUAAUCAAAGCAUACCAUCCUUUUGGAUACACACGUGAGACGGAUCAAGCUUUCAGCUGGAAGCUACAACAGUAUUGUAACAAUCACCUCGAAAGGAAAGUCUGGAAUUGUUUCCUGUUUCUUGGACUGGAAUCUAAAUAGUUCGCUUGGGUUUUUCAGAUUGUGAGGUGUUAUGAAAAUAGAGAAUUUUUGAACCUAUAGUUAUACCUAAAAAGUUGCUGCUACUAUACACAAAAAAAGAAGAUACAAAACCCAUCCAAUUUUGAUACUUUGGAACUUUUAUCGAUUGUGAACAAAAUGGCUGACCAGAAACGUCCUGUUUUUCCUAUAGAAAUCAUCACUCCGUUAUUGAUCCAGCUACCUCCUAAGGUCUUGAUGAAGCUCAUGCAUCUUUCAAGAUCACAGAAGAACUUGAUCGGAGACCCUAGUUCUCUGCGGCACAAUUUGAAAUAUUCUCAGCAAAAGGUAAUGGAUAUCUCUUGUAUUUGACUACGGAGUUAUAACCCGGGGACUUUCAAGUUGAUUGACGAUAGAUCAUUCCGAUAUUUGUUUAGAUUUAAGAAUGCCAUUUUUUUUGGUCCACUCCUCUUUUUCCUUCCUCACUUCUUUAAUCUCACCUGUUUUCUAUCUUGACAAGGACUUCGCCCGAAAGUUACCCACAAUCUGCACGAUCUUAUUUACUUUCUGUCCUUCUUCCUUCUUCUUAACCAGUGUCUAAAAAUAUUUAACUUAGUUCAUGAACUUGUUUAAAUUAACAUGUUUAAGUUAAAUCCUUGAAAUUCCUUCCAUGCAAGUUGAAAAGACAAUCGCUUUAACUUAAUUGAAACCUCAAUUGCAGACUUUUUCAAGUCAAAAAAAUGGAUGAUCUUAUAUUUCCUAAGAGGUAAUUAGUGAAACUAAAGCAGUCUCUUUCCGUAAUAUACAGCUGAUUCUUGAAAGAACCUAGUAAUUACUCCUAUACUAGGAAAGAAAUGGUAUUGGCAAUGUCUAAUCAUAUUGAGAAUUUCAAAUGAUCUGUCAUGUCAAUGGAAAGAAAUAUUUGCUUCAUCAAUCAUGCUGCAUUUCAUAAAUAAAAAACAAAAGGAGCAUUUGCCAAACAAAUUUAAACUUUAGAUUGGGAUAUCUUCGUCUUCUAAUUCUUUAGUUGUCCAAAUUGCUUCAUGAACUUCAAAAUUGUCCUUAAACUUUAGAUUGGGAUAUCUUAUUCCUAAAAUGCAAAAGCUUCUGCCAUUUUAGCCCUUCUCAUAAGAUAAUCAUUACAUUAAAAACUUACUUAAACAAGUAAACUAUGAUUGAAAAUAAUAGAAAUGCUAUUCUCUUUAUCGUGAAAGGACCUUAUGCUACAAGUAAAAUACAACGUGAUAAAGUCAUGACAAUAGAUAGGGAAGCUUCAAUGAGUACCAAAAUGUUGCCUAAUCUUGUGAUCCUGUGAUCUCUUGGCCUAAAAUUUAAUAUCCGUGUUACUAUAACAAGUUACAUAUUUAGUUAACGGUCAUAGUAAAAGCAAAUAAUCUUCAAUCAGUCAAAUGAGUGCCAUCGUGAAUUAAUAGACAUACAUCAACUUAUCUAGGGAUUUUUUUGGGAACAGCAUCAUUUACACAUCUAAAAAAUAAGCACCCAUAUUCUUUAGGGUAUGAUCUCAACUGUAUAUGGUUUUCGAAGUCACAUGGUCAAGCCUGACAAGGUCACAACCAAAUUCCAUCUUACCUGCGGAUUGAGAUAUAAAUUGGGAUUUUGAAUCUUGAAUCUUCUUCAAAUAAUCUGUCGUGAAUUAGAUUGAAAGACAUAUUCAUUUUCUUAAAAGAAAAAAGCAGUAAACUGAACUUAUAACCUGUCAUGGGUCUAUCACAUCACAGGGAAGGAAUGUUGCAACACCAAACAGUGAAAAUGUCUCCAAUGAAACAUCAUAAUAAAAAAUCCCUUCAACUCUACAAAAAUUUUGACACAAACUUUCAAAUAUAGAAGUACUGUGGCACUUUCUUGAAACCUUUCUAUGUUUUGCACAAACUCAAUAGCCAUGCCAAGAAACAUCAUGAUUUGCACGCACCAUGUUUCAAGUUUGAGAUCGCUCCUAUCCUGGAACCCAAACUCAGCAACUGAUUGAAUUCCUCUUAAGUAGCCAUCUUGUCUUGUCAGGGGAUCCCUUGUAGAUCCAUCAUCUUUCAAUGUCACCAAACCAUCAAGCAUGACCUGCGCAGAGGCAUACAGAGUUGUGAACGGAUGAACAGUCAAGUAAUAACUAUACGAUUUGAGCUCCUCAAAUCGAGAGUAACGUUCUCUUUGCGAUCCCUUGACGUAUAUAUAUACAAGAUGAAACCGAAUCUUCUGAAUCUAAAUACAUUGAAUUUUGGUCUACAAUGCUUGGGGAAUGACCAAAUUCUCCACACUUAAGAUGAAAACGAGAAUUGGACGAGAAGUUUAGGAGGAAUUAAGUAACUAGAGAAUAGUAAAGCUGGUCUGCAACAUAAAACACGGAUUUUGCCACAUCCUCUGAUAUUGCAUCAGACUUGAACUUUGCAUCUUUCGUUGUCUUUAUGGCCCCAAUCAAUUAAAUGGAUGCAAAUCAUGCAACGAUGUGGAGGCCAGUGUAUAGUGUAUAAUCCGUUAUAAUCUUACAUGUAUGCAUAAACGGGUGUAUAGCAUGAAUCUUUCACACCUAAACACCUGUUUAUGCACACUGGUGUGAUUAAUUAGCCUUCUCAAGUGGGAAAACUAAUUAACAUAAUACAUAGGGCUCUGAAAUCCUUGCCAACUUAGAGUAGGAGUACGCCUAGAGUGCUAGUGAUGCUUAAAUGCAAUUAGAUGACGGGUUUUAUUUAAUCAGAUUUUUAAACGAUUGCAGUUAUUCUUGGUGCUUUAUGCAUAAAUGGAGAAACCUCAUUCAUUGCUUUUGGAUAUCUUAUCACUCAUAGAAAAGUAUACAUGAUAGAGUAGAAAAACAAAAUUCUCUGCUUAGCGAUGAUUUGAUUUAUUAAACCAAUUGAACAUGUAUACUGGGGUCAAUUUCGAAAGAUUUUGCACUUCGCACUUGUAAACGAUAUUAGAUUCUCAAAUAAUCACACAAAUUAAGACGUUUGAUACUUGGCAUGCUACUAGUCAGCUAGUUAUAGGCUAGAAUAUGACGGUUUAUCAUAUUUUCAUUUUGCCACUUAAAAUGAUCAAAGCGAUUGUGAUGAUGAUGAGCGUUGAGGGAAGUGAAAGUGAAAGUGACAUUAAUUAUCAUUUUGAUUCAAAGCUGUGUCCUUCCAAGCUUGAGAUAUAUAACGAUCUAAGGGGUAGGAAGCAUUUUCUUUUCUGCGGAAAGAAGGGUGGAAGUGACUGAAACAGGAGCAAUAUAAAGAUUGGGACAUCCAGGGAAUGCAGCACAGGAGAAGGGAAUUAAAGGGAGUGGUGACUGAGAAUCUUGUUGAUCCUCCUGAUACAUGCAUGUUCUUGCCUCAAUCUUGAUGAUCAUCCUGAUAUAUGCAUGCUCUUACCUCAGAAUCCUCUAGCUCUGAAGAGGGUAAUGAUGAUUCUGAUGAUAACUACGACAAUAACUAGGAAGAACCAGGGAGCUCUGUUAUCACUUUUAUGGGCCCAUAAAUAUCAAACAACAAAAAUAAUUUAUCAAGCAAGAAAGCACAAAACGAAAAAUGGAGUCUAUCAAAAUGCAGCGGCUACAACUUACUAAAGAAAUGGAGACAGUGCCUUUAGUCACUAUUUCGACAUUUUGAUGAAUGGCUGACUGUGUAUUUCUUAAUUGAAGAAUUACGUAGGUAUACAACUUUCUGUAUAUUCUUUUUUCUUUACAAGUCUUAAAAAUAUAUUGUUCUAUGUCUUUUUCCAAAAUAAAUUGUAAUUUUCUUUUCAAUUUGUCAUUUUAUGGGGAUAAAAAGUUCCAAAUUCAUAAUGGUCUCUUUUUUCUUUUUCUUUUUUUAUAAGCCCUAACGGCCUUGUUUUGAUUUGGUUCAGAAUUUGGGAACCUACUAUCUUUUUAUAGUUAAAAAAGAGUAUAAAACUAAGUCACUUUAUGAGCCUUGACAGUAGAUAUUAACAUUUGUUGAAAAAAACAUAUGAGUCUUGAUAGUAUUAUGCUUCUUUUAAAUAAAAAAAAAGGGAAAAACAAUGGCACAAAGUUGGGCACACUUUUGUUCUUAGUUUUACACAAAUGAAUUAUUAGAUUUUUAAACUUAUGUUGUAAAAAAAAUGUAAUGAGAAAAAUAGAGAUGAAGCUGAAACGCAAAUAGUCAAACUCUCAUUCCACAUUUGUUGAUCUAUUUGAAAUGGUCUUUUUUAUCAUUUGCAAAAUUCUUUUCUUACCAGAAGUUUCCCAAACCUAAAGACACCACCUCUUAAAUACUAAAAUUCAUUAAUUAUAGUAACGUUAUUCACAUUAACGAGUGCCCAUUGAACAUCCGUUAGCCGGACCAAUUAACAAAUAUGUGAAAUGAGGCUUUCAUAGAUUUAAUGACAAUAGUCAGGAGCCAAAAAAAAUUUUAAUAGCGAUAAAGAUGAGAAGCUAUCCGAGGCUUUAAUGAAUUUACAGACACUAGUCAGCAACCAGAAUCUUAUCCCCUUUUCUCGACUGUACUUCUCGGAUGAGUAGCUCACCCUCAAGUAUUUUUAUCUCUCUUUUUCGAGAAGAAAAUAUUAAAAAGAUAGGUUUUCUUAAGCAAACAUUAAUCUUCUUUACAAACAGUGUAACCUAUGCUCCAACAAGUAUUGCAUGGUGGGAAAGGUUUUGGUCUGUAAUCUGCGGAUUAUCAUGAGGUGCACAGAUGUUGCACCUUGCCUGAGCUAUAAUGGUCUUAACAUGAUAAAUGUAUUCUUGAGCAUUUUAAUUAAUCUUUAUAAAUCUUAAUUUAAGAAUAUAGAGAUGCGAUGCGUAGUUGUCAAUUCUAAUUCUUGAACAAUUUUGUUAAGCCUGUUGUUACAUCAGUUUCCCUCAUUUUCUAAGACAUUUCCAUAUCAGAAACUGAAAAAAAAAAAAACUUGUUUUUUAGCUACCCAAAUAUAAACAUGUUUUUUUUAAUUAAUGAAUUCUGCGUAUUUAAUUCCUACUGUUGAGUGUUAUCCAAUACUGCUACUAAAUAUUCAUACAUCAACAUAUGCAUAUCUCUAAUUACAACUAGUAUUUUGAUAUAAUUAAGCAUAUAACUAUGAAGAAAAUUGAUUAUAUAUUUGUAAGGUCUGCUGCUUCUGUUGGCCGACUUGGUGGCCACGAGAACUCUCAUUUUCAUCCAAGUCUGGCGACGUACCCCAUUUUGCAUGGGGGCAAUCCGCCAUCUCCAUUGAUGGAAGUUGUUUUAGCCAGUAGAUCGAGGAGGACCAUAUUGGGCUCCUCGCCAGGAGCUGAACCUAGCUGGACCAGAGCCAUCGGUGUUCAAUCAGGGCAUAGACUGCACUACUUCUGCUGAUCAUGUGGAGCUUAACAUAGAGCAGCUGCCGCCUCUUUUUCCCUCUAUAUUACCUGGCGACUGCAAUGCAUUAAUACUUCAUCAUGAAACUUAAAAGGCAGCGAACCAGAAAAUUUUUCUUCAUCUUAAUUUCUCUACACUUUGAACCUAGUUCAUUUUAGUAUACAGAACUAUUGUUUAGUUGUAAUAUAUUUGGUUUCAAUUUCUCUCAACAAGAAAUUCUAGCCGAGAUUAAGGGCGGAGAGUAGAUGAAUUUAGUUCAAGAUCUGAAGUGAAUGCUCUCUUAGAAUUCAAGCUCCAAUAUUGAAAACUGAAUAUUCAAGAUUGUGUUGUCUAAACAUCUCACUUUCAUUCGUCAAAGUGAUGAAAUGUGCACUUCUAAGCAAUUUAGGGCACUUCUAAGCUCUAGAUGAUGAAAUGUGCAAAUCUCAACAAUUUAGGGCACUUCUAAGCUCUAGAUGAUGAAAUGUGCAACCUUCGUGAAAAAUAUAGAUUCAAUUUAAUUAUUCUAAAAGAAAAAGUAAAAAAAAAAAUCCAUGGCCUAGUUAUUUCCAAAACAGAAAUUAAAAAUUUUUACUUAGACUAUAGACUAGUGCAUUCACAAUGCACCCCAAAAUGGAUGUUUAACUAGCUAAUAUGGCAUGUAUUUCAAUAUAUGAUAUGUUAAGAAAGUAAAUACACCAUUAAAGUCCAUAUUUGCAUGUACAUUUUUAUAUGACAAUGUAAACAUUACACACUCAAGAGUCCACGAAUAUGUCUAGCUGAAUACAUCCCAUCCCAGAAGGUCCUUCUCUGAAACCUUGAGAGCUGAUAGUAGUAGUAUCAGUACCUAAAAAUUCCAGCCACCCCAGAAGCCGAAAUUGUAAUUUCCUCGUGUUAAAUUUAUUGACUUGAUUUGGACUUGCUUGGUUUAGAUUAUGAAAGUCUAGACUGAACUGUUGUCCAAUUGGGCUAUAAAUAUUGUAAUCAAUGUCUUUUUGGAUUUCACUAAAUUCCUUUUUGCACUAUCUAUGACAUCAAAUUCAACUUCUACAAAAGAAGAACUUGCGAAUAAUGGUUUUUAGGUUUGUAAUCCUGGGAUUAUGAGGUGCACACAUGUUGCACCAUGCCUGGCGCUAUACUGGUAUAGCAUUGAGUUUUCACUUUGACACAAGGUAAUAUGUGCAUUAAUCUUCUUACCAUCUCUAUCUGUCGAAAGGAUCAUCUAACCUGGAUUACUGCUUUUAGAUGAACUCUUAAUUUUGCAUUAUGAAUAUCGUGUUAAGAAUCUAGGCCAAAGUUCAAUUUCUGAUUAACUCUUUUUUGGUAGCUAAUUAAUGUCAUCUAAGAAAACAUCAUUAUAUUUAUAGAGUGAUUUUGCCAUUAGACAAAUAUUUGGAAAAAUAAAAAUUUAAGAUGAGACUACUCUAUCAAGGGUUUACUCGUCGUUUUAAUCUAUAGGUCUAAUAUUUUGUUCUACUAAGGUUUGCCUGCUAUCUAGGCCAAGGUUUGAUUGAAAUGAAUUCUGGGCAAUAGCUCAUUUAUGGAAAAUAAUAUGAUAUCAGCAAUCCUUCUUAUAUGUAGAGAGUGUUUUUCUUUUUCCCAUUAACCAAAUAUCUGUCAAAUUUCUUUAACUGGAGACUAGUCUAUCAAGGACGGACUUAUCGUUUAAAACAAUAGGAUCAACUUGCACCAACUGUGAAAUCCACCAUACCUAACCAGCUUAAAAAUUAUUCAAACCUUAUAAAUUUUAACAGAUUUCAGUAUCAAUUAUACGUUGCUUAACGUAUCGUUAUACCUAGGAAUUGGGCAGGUUGGACGGGUUGAUAUUGGAUUUUCACUUAAAUGGGCUACACUCAACCCGUCCAACUUUAAAUUGGGUUGAUUUUGGGUUGAAUUAUAUUGGAUCAUCUCAAACUCAUGAUCUAACAUAUUAAUUAAUACAUUUUGAUAUAUAAACUUUUUUACAUACAUUUUAACACGUAAAAAGAUUUUUUUUCCACACAUAAACAUAUUUUCACAUACAUAAAUGUAUUUUCACACACACACACACACUUCUUAAGCUUCUUAGAAAUACGUCAUAAAUAGAAUAAUAUUUUAUAUUCCUUGUAUUAUGAAUUUUAGAUAAUAAAUUGUACAUUGAAAUAGAUUAGCUAAAAAAUUUUGUUUACUUUAUACUUUUUAAUACGACUAAUUGAUUGAAAUUAUUUUUUAUCACUAUUAACACUUUUACUACUCAUAUAUGCUUUAUUGUAAGUUAUAAUAUUCUAUAUAUUUAAAUAAUUGAAUGCUAGAUUAUAUAAUGCUUGAAAAUAUAAUUAAAAGACAUAUCAUAUGUUGUAUUAUAAUAUUGGUGAGGAAUUAUUAACAAUGAAAUAAAACAAAUUAGAGAAAGUAAAAGAAUGCAAUUAGAAUAGGUUUAACUCUAUUCCACGUACACGAAAUAUUAACAAACAGAAAUAUUAACAAACAGAAGCAGAACCACCAGGUAAUUGAUUACAUAAUACAAGAGCAAAAGAGAUACAAAACUAGUCCCAAUUUCAUACUUUAAAACUUGAGUGAAGUGUCAAGCCUUCAUUAUACACAGGAAUAAUGCAAUCUUUAAGUGCCUAAGAAACUAGCUUAAUAGAAGUGCAUGAAGUAUUACAACUAUAUGAUCCCAUGAAGCUAGUAACAAGGCUGUUAGGCCAAUCACUUCCUCGAACGAAAACAACACAGGCCAUUGCGUACUCCGAUGUCCCG